rnacentral:lncRNA from 1 species
AUUACUUCCAUGGUUGGUGUAUCACUGUCACGGUUCCAUUGCCCUUUCCUAUUAUCUUGUGCUUUCUAUAACUUAUUGUAGCGCUUAUGUUUUCUGUGUGAGUCUACUUGUAUUUGCGAGCAGCACGUGCAUUGGGGAUACUGGUUGUAUAUAGUUGUGUAAAUUGGAAUCAUUAGUUUGAGUUUCUUGUUGUUGUAUAUUUUGUUCAUGCUGGAUAAAGAAGUCGAGCUGUAUUUUUUUUUCUCUUCGUGGAUUGUGGCUCAAGUAGAGUUGGAUGGGUGUUCGGGUUGGUAAUAGUUACUUUCAGUUCACGAGGUUUAUCUAUUUCAUCUAAACCAAACUUUUUUAAUUUUACACUUUAGCUACAUGUAAGUCGCCUGAAAAAUGAAUUUGGGUCAGUCAAUUUUUGAGCCAUUGAUUCUCCAUCAGGAUUCGUGCUACUUGUUUUUUCUCUGUUGUGUAUGUUGUCUUGUUUUGGGCUGAUAUUUUCAACUGACCACCGUAUUGGGCCAAUCGAAUCCUAAUUGGGCUGAAGUGCAUUUCCUGUUUUUAUAGGCCCAUGAUGCUCCCUUUUUUUUCUGUUUGUAUGCGUUUUUUGUUUUUUCCUUUUUCUUAGUUGGUUACGAUGGGUAUUUUUGAGAUGUUGGGUGAGUGUAAAUUGUAUACACACGAAUACUAUAUAACAUAGUAUAAACUAUAUUAUAGUGUAAACUAAACCACUAUACGUUUAUUUCUUGUAGUAAAUAUGUGCAAAGUUGUGUGCCAAUUUUUAAGCUUAUUUUUUAUUUUUCUUUAUUCUUAAAUGAAAAACUUCAUUAAUUUUUAUUAUGUUAUAGUUUUAUUUCAUUUCAUUUUUCUUUGAGGUUGAUACUACUGUCACUAUAUCAUUCCUUCUUAAGGAACAUCUUUUUUUUCUUGGAUUACCGCCAUGUUUUGCUCGUUCUUGCAUAUUAUAGAAAAGCAUAAUUUUCAUGUCAAUAUUUUGAAUUUUUAUAUUUUUUGCUUCUUUCAUUUUCUGUCCUCUUAAAGGGUAAUAACAAUGCCAUUGAUUCAUUCUUCCUUUGGAAACUUUAUUUUUGUUUUUGUUUUAUUUGUAGUUUCAUAUUCUUUCUUUUUUAUAGAUAAUACUAAUGCCACUAAAUUCAUUCCUUAAUAGGAAAAUUUACUUUUGGAAAUUCCACUAUUAUAUGCUUAUUCUUGCAUGUUAUAAAAAAUCGCAAUUUCUAUGUAAAUUGUGUAAAUUUUGAUAUAUUUGUUUCCUGUGAAAGGGUAAUACUAAUGCCACAAAUUCAUUCCUGCUUUGAAAACUUCAUUAUUUUGUUUUUGCUUCAUUUUUUGUUCUUUAAGGGUAAUGCCAAUGCCAAUAAAUUAUUUCUUUCUUAGGGAACUUCAUUCAUUUUGAAAUUUCCCUAUGUUAUGCUUAUUCUUUCAUAUUGUAAAACAGCGCAAUUUCUAUGUAAGUUGUGUGCAAAUUUAGUCUCUUAUAAUUAUUUUUCUUUCUUCUGGAAGAGAAAUACUAAUGCCACAAAUUCACUCUUCCUUAGAAAACUUCAUUUCUUGUUAUUUUAUUUUAUUUUGUGUUUCAUUUUCUUUCUUUCUUAUAGAUAAUACUAAUGCCAUUAAAUUCACUACUUCUUAGGAAAAUUCAUUUUUUGAAGUUCCACUAUUUUAUACUUAUUCUUGCAUAUUAUAAAAAAGUGCAAUUUGUGUGUAAAUUAUACUCCCUCCGUCCGGAAAUACUUGUCGGAGAAAUGCAUAAAAAUGGAUGUAUCUAGAACUAAAAUAUGUCUAGAUACAUCCAUUCCUCCAACAAGUAUUUCCAGACGGAGGGAGUAACAUUUUUUGUUUUUUCGUAUGAAAGGGUAAUACCAAUGCCACAAAUUCAAUAUUUCUUAGAAAAACUUCAUUAUUAUGUUUUUUUAGAUUUUCUUUUUCUUUUUUGUAAGGGUAAUACCAAUACCACUAAAUCAUUUCCUUCUUAAGGAACUUCAUUAUUUAAAAAUUCCACUAUGUUCGGCUUAUUCUUGCAUAUUAAAAAAAAAGCACAAUUUGUAUGUAAGUUGUGUGCAAAUUUUGUCUUUUUUUUUCUUUCUUCUAGAAGGGAAAUACUAAUGCCAUAAUUCUUCCUUGGAAUUUUUAUUUUAUUUUUUAUUUAUGUUUGUGUAUCAAUUUCUUUGUGUUUUAAGGGUAAUACCAAUGACACUAAAUUCCAUUGUUGUAUGUCUGCAUAAAAUAUGAUAUUAUAAGAAUAAUUAGGAAAUACUUUGCCAUCAAACAGAGCCUUAGUUAUAUAUGAUUUGGAAUUUGUGCGCAUGCAUUAUUAGCUAAUAUUCCCCCAUCUUAAAAUAAGUGUCUCAAUUUUAUGCUAACUCUAGUAUAAAGUUGUAUUAAUUUUAAAAUACUUAUUUUGAGACCGAGGGAGUAAUAGGUACAUAGCUUAGACAGGAACUCACAAGUAUUAGAAGGCUAAUACCAAUCCGUACACAUUUGAAAGUACACAUUUGAAAAGACUAUCUUUAACCUUCCAGCGUCCGCACGUAUGCAUAGACAGACACUGGGCAAUGGCUUUAAAGUAAUACUCCCUUUGUCCCAUAAUAUAAGAGCAUUUUUUAUACUAGUGUAGUGUUAAAAAUGCUUUUAUAUUAUGGGACAGAUAGAGUAAUAAAGUAACAAAACACCGGUGACUGUGAUUACAAACAUAACACGUGCUGAACCAUACGAAACAGGAUGGCACGUACGUGCAUGCGAGCAGAUAAACCCAAUGCGUGUGGAUCAAGGCCCUGCGUCAAACGUUGUACGCACGUAUUGUCAGCUGAGAGCAAAUCAACUUAAACAGGCUAAGAAAAAAAAAGGCAAAUGACUUACACACUGACCCAAGUUUUGUUUCAGCCAACUUACCAAUAGCCGGUCCCCAAAAAAAUCCCAUCUCCACACAAUUCCAGGACCCAAGUUACAUGAGGAACAUCCAGAUUGAAAGCUUGCUUAGAUAGAUUACAAGACGACGGAGAUAGACCUCCUAUAGCACGGGCGGCCGGCCUUCUUUGCGGGCCUGCUCUCCUCCUUCCAGAGCUGGCAGAGAUCCUUGGCGAUGCGCACGGCGUCGGCGGAGGCACCGGAGAUGCCGCGGCGUGCGAAGCCGACGGAGUAGAGUCCAAACUGGCCCUUCCAGCCGUUGGGGAACUCCGUCUUUGGGUAGCCGUCCUUGCCGAAGAAGUCCGUCGCCCGGAGCCACUGUGGCACAUUGCUUCUGUAGCCGGUGGCCAGGAUGACAGCGUCGACAUGGACGGCGGUGCCAUCGGAGAGCACGGCGUCGGAGUUGGUGAAGCGGGUGAUGCCGGGGACGACGGUGAUUUGGCCGCACCUGAUCCUGGCGAGCGCGCCGGUGUCGAGCACCGGGGCGCGGCCUUGCGUGUGCUUGAGCGUGAGCGGGCCGACAGCCGGGCGGUGGAUGCCGAGCUUGUCGAGGUCGCCGAGGACGAGCCAGGCGAGGAAGAUCAUGAUCUUGUCCACGAUCCAGAGCGGGAGCCACGCCAUGAGCAGCAUGGCCAGCUCGAAAGUGGACUUGCCGAGCACCUCGCGCGGAAUGACGUGCAUGGCGUCGCGCACCACCAUGAAAGGGUGGGCGCCGUGGUCGCAGAGGUCGAGGGAGACCUCCAUGCCGGAGUUCCCGCAGCCGACGACGAGCACGCGCUUCCCGCUGUAGGGCUCGCCGGACUUGUAGUGGCUGACGUGGGUGACCUCGCCGCAGAAGCCGCCGAGGCCCGGGAUGUCCGGGACGACGUUGACGGCGUUCUCGCCGGUGGCGACCACGAGCCAGCGGCCGAUGUACUCCAUCUGGGCACCGCCCGCGCGGGUGGCUUGCGCGUGCCAGAGUCCGGAGGUGUUGUCGUAGUGGGCGGAGAGCACGGUGGUGUUGAACUCCGGCUUAAUGUCGAACCUGGCGGCGUAGCUCUCGAGGUAGUCGAUGAACUGGCGGCGGGUGGGGUACUCCGGGUAGCUCUCCGGGAAGGGCAUGCGAGGGAGCUCGCAGAAGUGCUUGGGGAUGUGGAGCUUGACGCGGUCGUAGGUGCGCUUCUGCCAGAGCGAGGCGAUGCAGUCCUCGCGCUCCAGCAUGAGGAAUGGCAUGCCCUCCUCGCCGAGGCUGGCCGCCACGGCGAGCCCGGAGGGACCGGCGCCGACGAUGAUUGGGCCAUCCACCGACACACGACGAGGGGGGCUGAGGCUUUGCAUGCGGAGCACCAUGGCUGCUUCCUCGCUUCCUGGCCGGGUUGACAAGUGAUCACUAGAGUGAGCUUAAUUUGCUGGGUUUGCUCAACCAGCUUGCUGAAUGCUGCUAUGUUUUGCGGAGGCUUUUAAAUAGGAGAAGGCUGAGUGGAAGUUUGGUGGAGAGAUGCGAUUCGUGACGGCGGCACCUCAAAUUUAAAAUGUUUCCAAAAGCACUAAAUCUUAAUGCAUAUAGCCCAUGCAAAGCUGCAGCUAAUUUACUAAUAGUAAAGUGGAUCUGAUAAUUAGCGGCUAAGGCUUCUGUCUAACUUCAUUCCAAUUCAAUGUGUGAAGAAAGCUUAACGAUCUAAACGGUCUUACAAAAGUUUACAGCGGGAGUAUUAGAGAAAAAGGACUAGGCGCCUAAUGCGUGAUAAUGGCUUUUUCCAUCUUCUAACAGAGAGUCAAUCCUCCUUGUGACUAGACUGAAAUUCCACUUGCUCUUACUUUUCUUAUUAUAUGUACAAAUUGAGCUUUCUGGCUUUCUGCAGCUCAUGCAUCAAUCAAAAUACAAAAAGUGGAACAGAAAGAGAGAUAUCGCUGUAGACGCGUCAUUGAUUCGGUCCAAUCUUUCAUCGGUGCAACAUCAAUCAUAAAAAAAAUUAUUGAUUAAAACUUUCGGUUAUGCAAAUGGUGGGAGUAACAUAAAGACAGGGCAUAGACAACUGACAAGCAGCUAGCGCCCAGAUAAGCAAAACAAGCAAAACACCUACUGCUGAAUUAGAUGUAAGUACUAGUACGAAAAAGCUGUCGGUGCCACCGUCCUCGAAAUUGGGCUGCGAGAAAAGCUCGAACUACGAGCGGCUGAAGAUCGACUCCUUUUUAGCUCGACUAGGUAUGUGCCUGUGUGUUGCCACAGGGUCACAUAUUUUUUAUCUCAAUAAUUUGGUAGCCUGGGUCAUACAUGGUAAGUAAAUUAAUAUGAUUGAGCGGCAUACCGGAAGACGCGGUGAAAUAUUGUGUGAAAUCGAAUGAUGUAAUUCCAAGUAAUUGGGAAUGAUAAGUUAAUUAAGAUGGAGUUCAUGUAGGGCUGCAAGAAGUAAGUAAAAUAAUAUCAUUGAGCGGUGUAUUCGAAAGGUACGGUCAAAUAUGACGUGGGGGAAAAACGGGUUGGAUAAAAAAAAGAUGGAGAAACAUGGUGGGAGAGGGAAACCGGUUGACAAACAGCUCUACCUGGCAUAGCUUUUUAUGUAAGGAUCCCCAAAUUAAUAAAACCUACUUAGUAUUAAUUCUGCAUAAUUUUCUUGGCAUGUCAUCAUAUUUGCACUAAAGAAUUGCAUGGAAAUAAAAAAUGUGCAUUAACAUUAUUACUAUAAGAUAAUUAGAGGUUACACAUAGCAAUCCUAUGUUGUGUGUAUCCAACUGUCUUGAACAUUUUGUGGUGAUUAACUAUAGUGCUAAUACACACCCUUGGAUAUCUCCAUAAUUUUCUUAUAAUUAUUUGGACUCCGUUUGCAUUUAAAAUGGUUUAAAAUACCAUUUACAAAUUAAUGGAUGAAGCAAUGUUCUUCCAAAAAUUACGGAGCUUGUUUUACUGAUUCCAUUUAUCAUGUUUCAGUUCUCUGAAUUUAUAUAGAAUAUUUGGAUGACUAUUAAUGUCCUUCGGAAAUUAUGAGUUUAGGGAUAUGAUUAAUCUUCAAAUUACAAUGACAUGUUUGAUGUACUUCCAGAAUUAGUACCCUUAUAGUUCAAACUACAGACGCUUACACUUCUUAGCGUGUCUACUUCCAAAACAAAUAUAGUUGUAUUUGGAAGUACAUGUGCCGCACUUUUAAAAUACAUAUGUACUCUACUCAAAUAAAUAAAUAAAUACAUAAGUACUAUACUUCUAAAACUAAUAUGCUUGUACUUAGAGGUACAUGUACUUCGAAGUACUUGACCACUGUUUUUUCUGUUUUUUCAGAAAAAAAAAAUUACGUGUGUACUUUCCAUGAAGUUGGAGUCGCCUGUUCGGAGGCAACCGGUGAUGACGAUGACCCUUGUGACUCCUCGCCGGAUGUCUUUCUUCUUUGCAGCUCUGUGUUCCAUGUCGGUGGCUAGGUUGGUUGGUGGUGCCCAUGCUAUUUAUUGUAUUGUAUUGGUUUUAGGUUGGCUUUCCUUCAAUUAACCGGGCAAUUCUAACUUCUUCUUAAUCAAUAAAAAUGGUAACUCUUUCCCAUUAAAAAAAUAGAAAAAUGCCUACUCCGCUCUCUAGAAGAUNNNNNNNNNNNNNNNNNNNNNNNNNNNNNNNNNNNNNNNNNNNNNNNNNNNNNNNNNNNNNNNNNNNNNNNNNNNNNNNNNNNNNNNNNNNNNNNNNNNNNNNNNNNNNNNNNNNNNNNNNNNNNNNNNNNNNNNNNNNNNNNNNNNNNNNNNNNNNNNNNNNNNNNNNNNNNNNNNNNNNNNNNNNNNNNNNNNNNNNNNNNNNNNNNNNNNNNNNNNNNNNNNNNNNNNNNNNNNNNNNNNNNNNNNNNNNNNNNNNNNNNNNNNNNNNNNNNNNNNNNNNNNNNNNNNNNNNNNNNNNNNNNNNNNNUAUUUGGGUGCACACUAAAUCCGUUGACCCCACCACUAUAUCAACAUGGGUUCUACUCCAUUCGUCCCAUCACCAAACGGAUGUAUGUAGACAUAUUUAAGUGCUAGAUACAUCUGUUUGAGCAUCAAUUAAUAUGGAGCAAAGGAAGUAGUUUCAAAGAUCUUAACACGAAAAACCCAACAAUGAAACCGGCUCGCGAUUUGGACGCAUGGUUUAGAAGAUAAAACAACUAAAAAAACGAAUCUACGAAAAAAAACACAAAACCCCAAGUUGCGACAAGUGUUGCACAUAUAGUGCGCCACUUGUCACCACCAGAAAAGGUGGGAGUGACCUUUGCAAGGGUUACCGCUUAACUAGUAAUUUCACUAUUUCACGCCUGAUGCGAAACAAGUCGCCCAAACACGCUCGCCUGCUCCUGUUUUUGGGCCAGCCCAUGUGUGGGGCGAGGCGCUCCUUUUUUCCUUUUUUUCUAUGUUUUUGUUUUUGUUUUCUAUUUUAUGUUUUUUGCUUCAUAAAAAAGUUUUUGAUUUCAAAAUAUGUUCAUGCAUUUCAAAGAAUGUUGAUAAUUUUUUAAAAGUAAUAUUCCUCAACUUCAAGAAAAGUUUUCAAAUGUAAGAAAUAUUCCAAAUUUUGAAAAAUGUUCAUGAAUCAAAGGUCCAAAAUUCCAAAAAACUGUCCACACUUAAAAAAACAUUCAUGGAUUCAAAACAAAUCUGCAAGUAUAAAAAAUUAUUCCCAAAUUCCAGAAAAUGUUCAUGUUCGCCUAUUUCAUAAACUGUUUGUGAGUUUAAAAAGUUAUUCUCAAAAUUAUUAAAAUUCACUAAUUCAAAAAUGUUGCUGAGUUUUAGGAACUAUUUCCAAAUUUUUAAAAUGUUCCAAAUUUUGAUAUAUAAAAACGAUAAAUAACAUAUAUAAAAGAGAAAUAGAAAACAAGAACAAAAGAAAAAACACAGUAAUAAGAAGAAGAAAAGAAAAUCCGAAAACCGAAAGAAAAAAGACACACGCACACACACAAAAGAAAACACCAUUUCCAAAACCGGUGAGAAAUAAAAAAACCUAGACAAUCUUACUGCACCAACCCAAUAGCGUGCUAGUGCUAAAGCGUGGUGAGUGAUUGGCCGCUACCUGCCAACCUACACGGCUAAUAGGAUCCCCGUCCCUGAGGUGGAGCAUGAGCAAACACGUACCCCCGCGUACAGGUCGAACAGAGACGAAAGUCGGCCAUAGUGAUAUGGGAGUCCCAUGUGGAAGUUCUCUCACUCAAUGGAUCAAAGGCAUGCCGAGGAUAACAGGCUGAUGACUCCCAAGAGCUCUUAUCCACAUGGAUAGUGGGCGGGCCCAAUGCGGGGGCACAUGAGCCUGGUAUUUCUUCUUGUUUAUAUUCUUCUUUUGCUUAUUACUAAAAUGAUUGAGAUUUAAAGAAAAAAUAGAAUUCCAAAAAAUGUCGGUAAGCUUGGGACAACUCUUAGAUUUAGAAAAAUGAUCAUGAAUUUGAAAAAAUUUCUUCAAUUUUAAAGAAAUUCCAAUUUCAGAAAAUGCCUACAAUUUUGAAAAAUUACUUACAUAUAAAAACAUGAUCAUGAAUUUGAAAAUAUCCCUGGAUUUUAAAUAAAAUUUUAAAAUAAAAAACUAUUCCCAAAAUUUAAAAAAUGUUCAUCAAUUUCAAAAAUAUUCUUGAAUUAUAAUAAAAAUUCCAAAAUUGUAGAAUUUUUUCACACAUUUGAAAAAGGUUCCCGCAUUUCAAAAACAUUCACAAAACCAAAAAAAAUCAAAGAACAAGAAAAAAGGAAAUGAAACAAAAAAAACAGGAAAAACAAAAAUAAAAGAUAAAUAACGAAGCAAAUAUAUAUUUGAAAAAACCCUGACAAAACUGAAAACUGGCACAAAGAAACAUAGAAAAAUGAAAAACAUGUUUAGGAAGGUUAUAGAACCUUCCUAAAACCUUUUGGGAAAUAGCUUCUAAGAAACCUAAAUAGAUCUGCCGAAAAGUACCUACAUCAGCGACCAAGGUGCGUGUUUGAUCGAUAUUCCCGAACCUACGUGGGGAAUAGGAUAUGUCGUUGCCAUGGGAGAGGCCCGCCAUGCUCUCAUUUUGACCAUGUUGUGCAGUGAUGUCGAACUUCCCGCUCCGAAGCGUGUAGUGUUCUUUGUUGGAAGAGCUCCCGCGAACGACAAGAUACGAAUCAGGGACCAAUUGACCUAUACUGAAUAGGAAGGCAGGUAGCCAGUGUGUCGUUGGCUCAGGUUACUUUACAUUAUUAGAAUGUUAUUAGAGCGCCGUUGGCCCAGGUUACUAAUUUGUGUUUCUGGAUUAUUACUAUCAUAGUUGGUGUAGCAGUCUCACUGUUCCAUUGCCCUUUCAUGCUAUCUAGUGCUGGCCGAAACUUAUAGUAGCCUUCUUUUUUCGGUGUGAAUCUACUUCUAUCUAUGAGCAGCACGUGUAUUGGGGAUACUGGUUAUAUAUAGUUGUGUAAAUUGGAGUCGUUAGUUUGCGUUUCUUCCUACUUGUUGCAUAUUCUGUUCCUGAUAAAGAUGCCUCGCUAUAUUUUUUUUCUCUUCGUCGGAUGUGGCUCAAGUAGAGUUGGAUGGGUGCCUGGGUUGGUAAAUAUUAAGUUACUUUCAGUUCAUGAGGUUUAUCUAUUUCAUCUAGUCCAAACUCUUUUAAGUUUAACUAAGUUAUAGAAAAAUAACAACAUACAAUAUCAAAUUAAUAUUUUCAUAGAUAUUUAUUUGGUAUUGUACACAUUAUUAUUUUUAUAUAAGUGAUCAAAUUUAAAAGGGUUUGGCUUAGAUUUUUUUUCCUAUGUUCCAAAUUAUUUGGAGCUCCAUCUUAAUCUUAUGUCACAUUUCUAGAUACUUAACCAAAUCUGUAUAAACAAUGUGCUAAUAACUACGACAUCAGAUAUACAACAUCAACCUGAAAAGGAGAAGCGAAGGCGCGUCAAACAUAAUAACUGGAACCCUAAGGUGUCAUCUUCAUCUCCCUGAUUUCUCCUCUCUUCACUUUUAUUUAGAGAAUAAGUUGAUAUCAUGUCCUAGCAAAUCAGCUAGAGGCAGGGUUCAAGGACAUAUUCGACCCCAAGUUGGGUUUGGUGUUAACAUGACUAGUGAUCUAACCAUGCGUUUUGAGUUUUUACCCGGUGCUUUAGCACAUUUGAUGAGAAGCAUUCUUGGUUGGACCACCAGACCAACAAAAAGUGAAGACGACUAAAGUUUGAUUUACUUUAUUUUUUGGGGGUCAACUGAAAAGCCAUACUAUAAAGAGGGUACACUUUGGAUGAGUUGUGAUAUUCAACUUCACGUACACAAAUAUUUGCACCCGCAAAACUCAUACACAAAGCCCGAGAGAGAGAAGCGAACCAACCUAUGGUUGGAUGGUUAGAGGGACUGUGGUAUCCCCAGCCCAUCAGGGUUCAAGUCCUGGUGCUCGCAUUUAUUCCUGGAUUUAUUUCAGGAUUUCCGGCGAUGCGCAUUCAGUGGGAGGAGACGUUCCCGUCGAUGACGAGGUGCCUACGGUGACUUCGUAAAUUUCAAGAUGAUAUGCCGGCUCAGUCUUUCGGAGGUGCUCAUAGGGAUAGGGUGUGCGUGUGUGUGUUCAUAGGGGUGAGUGUAUGCACGUGUAUAUGAGCGCUUGCGUCUGUACUGUGUUCAAAAAAAGCCUGAGAGAGAAGCCCCGGAACCUCCAGGUUGCCUUGGAGACUCCGGGGUCGCGGACCCUGCGGACAGCCUCUGGUAUGGUUCGGGCAGGGAGAUCAGCUAGAGGAGAUCCAAAACUAUACUUUCACCAAACCAAAAGAUGAAUUCCCCUUACGAAUCCUUGGUGCAUCUUGUUACUCUUGGAGUUAUGGGGAAUCCUAUAAGGUUAGAGUCCUUCUAAAAUCACCUAUAUGCAGAUUUUCUGUGGAGAAGUUUGUGAAUGUGCCAACCACUAGGGCGUGUUUGGGUGCCUGCAUGAGGCCCAACCAGGCCCGCGCGGGAAGAAAACGACAUGUUUGGUUGGCUGCAUACACUGUUGGGCCUGCAUGGCACGAUAUUUAAAGCACUCCUGGGCCUGGCUCCCUGGGAACGCUCGAAUCGGCAGUUUCUCCAGGGCCAGGCCCGAGCGGUGCACGUGGGCGGCGGCGGCUGCACGUGCGCGGCCACGCUCGAGAAGCCGCGUUGCUUCCCGAAGCACCGAUAGUUAUUAGCCUCACCGCCCCUCACCGCUCCCUCUACCCACUCUUCCCACUCUCCCAACUCUCACCGGUGGCGGCGGAUCGGACGAGAGCAAGAAGACCACCGGACUCCAUCACCGGCGACCGGACCAUCACUUGGCUCGCGGCAAUGGCGGUAAGCACUUCUCUCUGUUCGUCAUGCACUACUUUUUCCCGUUCGAUCCGGCGAUAGAUUCGAUCCACGGCGGAGAGGGGAAUGGGAAAUAGAGGUAGAUAAGCAUGUAGAGAUAGUUCAUACGAGUUCAUACUACUUCAUACUAGUUCAUGCAAGAUCGGAAUAGAGGUAGAUGCGGAUGCAGUAGAAGGGGGAUUGGGGGAUUGGGUGUCAACGAACACCGGCUAACCGCGGUGGCCGUCACGGGCGUGCGGAGCGGCGGGUCGAGUGGCUGGCCUUCGUCUUCUUGUUCAUCGCUCACUUCUACAAGGGCAUCCUUGCACCGAAGCUUGAGUGCAUCCCCAUGCCCCUGGACUUCACCAAGCACUUCGUCGCGGUGCCGACGGAGUUCAAGCUCAGGAACAACACCGGCUGCUCCUGGAAGGUGACAGUGAAGCUGAUGAACGGCAGGGUGACCCUGGAUCAGGGUUGGUCCACCUACGCAACCGUUCAUCAGAUCAAGAUCGGCUACAUGAUGACGUUCAAGCUCCUCACUCCCGACACCCUCAAGGUCAUCAUCUUCGACGACGAAGGCAUUGAGGUCGUCAACAAGUGUGGGAAGCACGACGAAGCCUUCGCCGCCAAGGACUAGGGCCGGGGCACCUCCUUCCUAAGUACUAUCGAGUCUGCUUUGAACUGUUUAUGUUUAUGGUUUAUGCGUUGAACUGUUAUGAAGUGUGGUACUGCUUAUCUGAAAUAUCUUGUUAAGUAGUUGAUCCUCUGUUUAUACUCUUCUCUGCUUAUGAUGUGUGCUACAUGGUUGUGCCGAAGUGUGCUGGUAACCUCACCAACUAGUCAAAGAGGUUACCACACACCAGGUGUUGCAUACAAUCAAACACCAUGCCUUGGGUUUGUCCACUAACAUGCAGGCAACCAAACACCAGACAGUGUUGUUCAACCCAUGCAGGCAGCCAAACAACUUGCAGAUGAUGCAUUUGAGGCUGCAUUUGCAUAGCCAGGCUGAGUUGAGAAGGCUAUGCAAUGCAGCUACUAUAGAUUACGGCAACCAAACACGCCCCUAGUGAUUGAGCUCUUACUAUGUGUGGGUGCCCCAAGGAGAAGAAUGUGAGCCUAUUUUGGUGCUCAUUGGCUUUGGCGGUGCCUACUCUUCUCCAACAGAGGGUAGCACUUCCCCAAGAGUGUGAAAUUUGGGUUAAUCUCCGUCUCCGGCUUAUGGUUAUUUUAAUCCCCUUUACUUAACUUGUGCAAGUCUUACUCUUGCUAGUUUUGCUUACUUGUGUAGCUAGAUUUGCUUUGUAAAAUAGGUUGAAUCAUGCAGUUGCAUAUUUAGAGAACUUACUCUAUCUACUAUCCUUAAAUUUGUUAAAGGAAAGAUAGAAAAAAAUUGUCACCUAUUCAUCCCCAUCUAGUCGAUAUCUUUGAUCCUUCAUAGAAGAUAAUACAUGUGGUUGCAGAGUGAGAAUGUAGUAGUACUAGUAAUUUGAUGUCGUACAAAUGUAGAGAGAAGGGAUGAUGUCAUCCACCCACAUGACACACCCGGUACCAUCGCCGCCUCCCCGGAUAUCAGUGGCAGCGUAGGCCAAUCACGGGCAGUGGGCUAAGCACCUCGCACUGCACUCCUCCAGCUCGACGCUCAUGUCCACCGAUGAGUUCUGUGUGUCAGGAAGCAUCGAUCACCCCUGUCACCACCUUGAAGUUGUCCGUCGUUGUCCUGCCGGCACAGUCCAAUGCCGUAUCUUGUCGGCACCCGCAUGUGGUAUCCUUGACCUCCCACGUCGACGGUGACCCCGGACAAUGCUGUUCCCAGCGACGCAGCCGCAGAACCCCGAUGAUGCCGCGUCGGGGUCGCAGAGGCCGAACGGCCCCCACUUCCCGUAGUCGUCGCAUGGAUCCCUCGGCCCCUGGAAUACGGUUCCACGUCAAGCUGCUCGCGUCCCACUCCAGCCGCUCCACUUUGACGUUGUAGUUCAGAGCAUCUUCAGCCGUUCGGCCCCCCAGAGCACCGAAAAAAAGCGGCCUGGGGGCGAGCCGGCGCUAGAUCGGUCCCUGGGGUUCGUUUCUCCCCAGCCACGCCCCCAGGUGCCGCCCCCCAAGGCUCCCCAUAUUCAAACUCCAUCGUUCCCGCUCAAAGAAAAGCGAUCAUCGUAAUAGUUCGGCGAUUCAAUACCACAGUUCGGCGAUCAAAUAAAAGGACACGCAGUAGUUCGGCGUACAGAAAAGGAAGGACGCGGAAGGAGUACAUCAAACGUCGAGCUCAACCUCCGGCGGCGUCGUCGUCGGCGUACGCGGGCUGGAAGGAGUCGGCGUGGCUUCCGGGCUGGUCGGCGUGGCUUCUAUGCUGCCGGGCGCGGCGGAGGCAUCGUCGGUGGGGCUGGGCGUUGCGGAGGCAUCGUCUGUGGGGCUGGGCGUCGCGGAGGCAUCGUCAUCAGCCGCCGGGCUGGGCGGCGGCGUCGGCGUCGCCGAUAUCUGAUUCAGGAUGAGGCCGCGCUCCGCCAAGAACCACGCCUUGAGCUUCUCGUCGCCGCUCUGGAGCAUGUCAGCGCCACCCAUCAAGAAGGCGAGGUCGUUGUUCCUCUUCUUCGCGUCUUGAGCUUUGAGUUUCGCGGCGGCGUUGGUCCGGAGCAAGUCGAGUUUGACGGCGCUGUUCGUCAUCAAAACAGCCCACCUCGCCUCAGUUUUCUCUUCUCGCUGGGCGGCCCUGGUCUUGGCGUCGGCGAGGUUCGAUGGACUCUUGCACGCGCGAGGCAGCCGACUCGGCGUAUUUCGCCUUCUUGGCACCUUUGUUGCCGUCCGGUCGCCCGUCAGCCGCGCUCGCGGUCGGCGCGUCCGGCUUGUACGUCUCUUUGGCUUUGGCGAGGGUGCACCGGACGGCCGCCCAUUUCUCGCACCUGUCGAUCCGCCUGAAGACGUGGAGGUAUUUGAACUCUGCGUCGCUGUUGUCAUCGCGGAACAUGGCGAACAUGCGUAGCAGCUGCGCCGAACGAAAGAACAUCAGUCGGCGUGCUCGGCGCGCGCGCGGCGCGCACGACGGAAGGCAACAGUAUGAGAUACCUGAUCCUCGACGCUGGUGCCUCUCUCCGGGCGAGCCGCAACCUCCUCGACGAUCCCAUGCCAUUUGUUGCACGCUGUUUGGAUGAGCCCCCAAUGGUUCGCCAUCGCCUUCGCCCCACGCUUCAUGUGCACGCUUUUGAAGUAGGGGUCGACGAGCUUCCGCUCGUCGAAGUCGGCCUUGAUGCGGUCCCAAUACAUCUCGAUGCUCUGGUUCGUGCCGGUGACCGGGUCGAGGCAGACGACCUUCCACGCUUCGGCGAGGCACUCCUCUUCCUUGGACGCCCACUUGAUGCGUGGCUCGCCGGGCUUGGCCGCCUUCUUCUUCCUCUUCUUCUUGCCUUUCCUCGUCGGCGCCGGUUCCUCCUCCUCUUCCUCCUCCUCCGGCUCUUCCUCGCCGUAGUCGAGCUUGUCGUCCAUGUCGCCGAGGUCAAUCGAGUCGUCCUGGGUAGUGAACCCGGGGGAAGCGGCGGCGGCAGCCGAGCCGGCUGCGAUGAUGUCCUCCAUGUCGGCCUCCGUCGAGUCGGCGUCGCCGAGAUGCGUCAAGGAUGCGGUUGCGAGUAGAGGACGCCGCGAAGAGGUGGCGUCGGUGAGGCUGCGUAGUCCGGCGGCGAGUACGUGUAUGGCGGGUACUGCAUGCCGGCGAACGCGGGCGAGGGCGUGCGCUGGACAGGGCGCCCAUGGGGGAAGGUGAUGUUGGGGUUGAAGCCACCAUGGGCGUCCCCAUCGGCAUAGCCUGGCGACGACGUGCUCCAUGGGUGCGGCGACGACGAGAACCCUGCCGGAGAGCCGACGCUUUGCUGGCUCCAGGCCGCGUACGGGUGCCCACCGGGUGGAUUCAUCAUCGCCGCGCGCACCGCCUCCACUUGUUCCGCCGCCGCCGCAGCCGCAGCGUGCGCCGCUUUUUCCCUGGCCUUCUUGGCCCUGUUGCGCCUGUCGGCGGUGACGGCCUCCCGGCGCUCCACAUCCGCCUUCCACUCGGUGUUGCUCAUGCCGGGGGCUUGGAUAGCGGCGCCCUCGGCUUCCUUUGCUUCGGCUGGGCGGCGGCGGCUGUGGGAUCCAUCGCGGCGCGCGGCAUCACGUACUUCUUCGGCGGCAUGGCGGGCGUUUGGCAGGAGGAGCCGAGCGUUUGGCGGGAGGAAUGGAGAAGAGAGGGGAGCCUAGGGGAAAGCGGGAGAAAACGGCGGGAAAGGGCUUCAGUCGCCGACGGAGCGGCCCCACGCCGCUUUUCGCUUGUGCCGGCGCGCCCAGGCGACACCUGGCCUCUUGGGUUCGGGGCGGGAUCGCCGGCUCUGUAUUUCGCCCAAACCGGCGCUAAACGAGAUCCUGGGGUCGCGACUGGGCCGAUUUUCGGUCACNNNNNNNNNNNNNNNNNNNNNNNNNNNNNNNNNNNNNNNNNNNNNNNNNNNNNNNNNNNNNNNNNNNNNNNNNNNNNNNNNNNNNNNNNNNNNNNNNNNNNNNNNNNNNNNNNNNNNNNNNNNNNNNNNNNNNNNNNNNNNNNNNNNNNNNNNNNNNNNNNNNNNNNNNNNNNNNNNNNNNNNNNNNNNNNNNNNNNNNNNNNNNNNNNNNNNNNNNNNNNNNNNNNNNNNNNNNNNNNNNNNNNNNNNNNNNNNNNNNNNNNNNNNNNNNNNNNNNNNNNNNNNNNNNNNNNNNNNNNNNNNNNNNNNNNNNNNNNNNNNNNNNNNNNNNNNNNNNNNNNNGAUGCUCUCACCACGACGGGGUCUGCGGCGCGCCGGGUGAGGCGGGGUACCCAUAGGUGAUCUCCCACGUCACGGGUCUGCAGCUACAUCAUGUGGGCGGAUGGUAUCAUUGAUCUUCGCUUCGUCGACGAUGGGUAGAACUCUACCUCAGGCUGUCAAAAUCAGAAUUUGGUAUGUACAUAAUUCUCUGAACCCAUUAAUUGUUGGUGGAUCUUCAAUCUAGACAGUCUAGUGUUGAUAGAGAUCCGUUCUUAACGUCAUAGAAAUUCUGUUUUUUUCUUUUUCAAGCGAGAAAACAUAUAAACUUGAAACUUUGCAAAUCCACAACAUAUAUAUUAAAAACAACAACAUGUAAAAUUGUUUAUGGAUUUGUUUGUGGACCAUAAAUAAUUAAGUGACAGAACUUAUUCAAAAAUUUCUCAUUAUAGAUAUUUUUAUUUAUCACGCAAACAUAAACAUGAAACAUUUCUAUAUGUUGCCCUGCAAAAAUAUAUUCUACAUACUGUAGUCCCAAGGAGGCAUUAACGUGCGGUUCUUAACACAAAACAGAUAUGGGGAAGCGGAUAAACUAAGCUUGAGCUCAUAUGAGUUCGAUGAACAGUAAAAACCGAAAAAAUGAACACAAAUUCAAACAAAUCUGAUUUUUUUUGUGGCAACAUUUGACUAAUGUUUUGCAUGCUUGCAAAAUUUUAUCACAAAAUAACAUUCGUGGAAGUCGUGGCAAAAAAAAUUGAUGUGGCUAUAUACGACGAUUUGAAUAAAGUUUGUCCGGUUUGUUCAAACGUUGUUUGAAAUGUAUGUGGAUAGUCCGGCUCAUGCUUCUUUGUCCGCAGACUAAUCCUACCGGAUGCGGUGUCCGUUUCGCGGUCAGUGUUGGAGAUGCCCAUAGUGUUCAUGGGUAUGGAUCCAUCGUGAAGGAUAUCAGGAUAAAAACUAUAUACUUUCCUCAAAGAAAAUCUGUCUAUUUCACGCGUGAUGCAACCUGCAACUUUAUGAUCCUGAGAGGAUAAAUAUCGAUCGAUCAUGUCUCGUCAUGCAUGUUGCUUUCGCCUCAUCUCUUUUUCUUGCUACACGAUAUGCCUAUGCCUUGGUGAUAGUGCUAGCCCAAGUAGCCAGGUCCGUGAAACACACACCGAGAAAAAGUAGCUAGCCACACAAACACAGGCACCAACGGUCCAACGCACACGCAUAACCUUGAUUGUUUUAUUCUCGAAAUUAAAAUCACUCUGAGCAUCGUCUUGAUUGUUUUCUUGUCCAAAUUAAAAUCACGCUGAAUUCAUCGGUGAUCUGUCAACCAACCAAAAGAGAAGAAAGAAGGCAUGAAUCCUUGCUUGAUUUGUCCUGUUUGCUUCAGAAACACAGUACGACGACAUGCUUGACUUGUUUAUCCAUUUUUCUUCAAUAUAUCCAAUCACAAUAAAUUGUUCGUUUACUUGCAUUCAAAGAAAGCUAAUCACUUCACGAGAAACUCGACCUAGUACUUGAUAAAAUCUUGAUCAGUUUCUCUCAAGUCCAACUAAUGAAGAGUUUAAGAUGUGUCAUGUGUACAGUGUAUAUAUCUAUCUACUUAUAGUAGAGCUUAAUCAAUCAAGCUAGCAGAGGAGGAGCAGAGGAGUGACGGUGACAAGCAAGAGCAGGAUGGCCGUAUGCGUCGUCGUCGUCUUCCCGGGCGACCUGGUGGUGGCCACCGCCGGGGCGGCUGAGGAGGUGUCGGGCUCGGAGAGGGAGCUGAGGCUGAAGCGCGGGUUGGAGCCGUAGAGCGCCUGCGCGCCGCGGACGUCGUCCAGGGUGAGGUCCGCCUUGCGGCUGCGCGGCUUCAGGCUCGGGUACAUGACGGCGUCCGGGACCGACGAGUGCGCCAGGCCCAGCACGUGGCCGAUCUCGUGCGUGGCCACCGACUCGAGGUCCACGGCGCCGGAGCCGGGGUCGUCGCCGUCGUGGCCGAGGACGGCCCACCGCUCGGCGGCGUCGAGGUGGAGCUGGCCGCUGGGCGGGGAGAAGGCGUGGCCGAGCACGCCGAGCGGGCCGUCGAAGGGCUCGCCGUCGCCGUGGUCGCCCGCGAGGAAGCCCACGCGCACGUCCGCCGUGUUGUAGUCGCGCAUCUCGCGGAACCGCACCGGGAUGACGCGCGCCCAGCGCGCGAACGCGCGGCGGAAGGCGGCGCGCACGGCCCCGCGCGGGAGAUGAUCAGGGAGGGGCUGGUAGGGAGGGUCGGAGAGCACGGCGUAGGUGAGCAGGAAGUGGCCCGGCGCGCGCGCCCAGCGCGGCUGGCCGGCGAAGAAGGCGAAGCGGGCGGUGGCGUUCGUCUGGAGGUCCGGGACGCCGCAGCGCGGGGUGGCGAGGAGGUCGAGCGUGCGGGCGUCGAGGCGGCCGGUGACGGGGAGGCCGAGGGUGGACUGGUAGAGCCGCACCACGAGCUGGCCGUCGGCGUCGUCAGGCGUGGACGCGUAGCCGAAGCGCGCCAGGUAGCGCCUGAGGCCGUCGGUGACGUUGCCGUCCCGCGCCUGGAGCAUGCCCGCGAGCGAGGAGGAGGGGUUGGCGUCGCCGUGGAGAAGAAGGUGCCGGGAGCAGCAGCUGCAGCAUGGUGGAAACAGGAGGAGGGGCAAGAAGAAGGAGAAGAAGAAGAUGGACAUGGGCGCGCGCGCAUAUGGCUACUUCUAGUUCUACAUGACUGCGCGCAUAUAAGAAGAAGAGGAAAGAAUGUCGAGGGCCACACCGUAGGACGAAACUUUGACUAGUGUGCUGCUAGUAUUGUUGUCCCUUGUCUUAUAAUUUUGGUGCUCAGCUCUGGCUUCGAAAAAGGAGGAGGAGAACAAAAGAACAAAAUGGGGUGUUGUUUGGAACUUGCUGCAUGUCGUUUCUCCUGAGAGACACGGAGCUUUCGUCUCCAGUUCCUCGCCACCUGGAUUAUGUUCCUGCCCCCAUAUUUCAAGCUGAUGGAUGGAUGGUCUCGUUGGGAGCGUGCUUCCCGUAUGGGGCGUGCUUCGAAAUUACAUGAAGGCUGUCGAGGCAAUGCGCAAACUCAGAGUCACUAUAUUGGAUGUCUCUAUUUUUUUUCCAUCAACUCGGUAGUUACACAUUUAGAAGAAUUAAAACACUAAUCAGAGCUAGCAUUGUAUUAAAAAUUCUUACGUAGGGGAGAAGGGGAUUAGUGACAUUUUCAUGUCAUAAGUUUAAAAUGUGUCACUUUUAAGCGACUAGAGGCACUCGUGUACUUGGAAACAGGGGAGGUGCAAGAAGAAGAAAGAAUGUUGAGGGGCGGGCUCGUGUACUUUGGCUCGGGCCACACCGACCGCAGGACGAAGCUUUGUUGUCUCUGUCUUAAUUUGGAGCUCAGCUCUUGCUUCCAAAAAGGAGAUGCAGAAAAUGGGGCGUUGUUUGGAACUUGAUCCGUGUCGUCUCUUGCUCAGAGACACGGAGCUUUCAGCUCCAAUUCGUCGCCACUCGCCACCUGUGUAGUGGAGUAUGUUCCUGCUCCCAUCUUUAUUUCUUUUCUUUCGGAAGCUGAUGGGCGGAUGAUCUCUUUGGAGUACGGACCGGACUCACGCUGCUCCUGAUUUUGUGGGGAUUGUGUUCUGUUGUUUUGUUGGUGGCGCCACUUUAUGUAGUAGUACUAUGUUCUUUUCAAGGUUGACUCGAAACCUUUAAUUCAUGAAACACAAUGUCACACCACUUUUACCCAUCUAAUAGCAAAUUUAGCAGAAUCGACGUAUUGACCUUCUCCAUAUCGCAGAGUGCAUGGAGCGCGCUUCAUAAUACAAAUAUGAAGGUUGUCGAGGCGAUGUGCAAACUCAGAGGCGCUAUAUUGAAUGUUUUCAUAUAUUUUCUCUUCUUUCCUAUUUUUGUUGCAUCAACUCAAUAGUCACACUCAAUUAGAAGGAUUAAAACACUAAUUUUCAACUAAUGUUACAUUACAAAGUUCUUACAUAGGGGGAGAAAAGUUUCUAGUGAAAUUUUCAUAUAGGUUCAAAUUUUAUCCUUUUUAACGACUAUAGCAUGAUUUUGAGCCCCACGACGUCGAUGUGUGAAUGCUCUACACGGGGCACAUGCAUAUGUGACGAGUCCACUCGCCCUCCAUGUACGGUGGCGUGUCGGUACGGCGACCUUGUCUUCGUUUCAUUCCUGUCCCAUGCGGUCGUGAGGUCGGAGACGGCUUUCUCAACUCGGAAAAGGCUCAAUAUGGUGUUAGUUGUUUCCUCGAAUCUCAUCAUAUUAGCAUCGAAUUGGCACACUCCACCGGCCACCGCGAAAUUCUCCUAUACUUCCUCGUAGUGGAUCCAUACUUGGGCACUCUGCUCUACGGCCAGUGCCUGCCAAGCGACAGUCUGCUCAAAGAUUUUCCUUGGGCGGAUUGCCUACGCGUAGGCGGCGUACCACUCAUCUCAUGCCUCCUUUACAGUGAAGUUGGACACUAGACGUUGCAUCAGAGAGACAUCUCGGGCGAGUUUGGGAUCUUCACAUAACCAUGCUAGUUAUCCCAAAUCAGCCCGUGCAUUUUGGGAUCCCAACCCUUCCACUCAGUGAAGAUGGUGAGUUCCCCCUGUAGGGUCUCCUUCAUGUCGUAGUGAUCCCACUCCUCCUCAGCGAUGCCGACAGCCUCCUACGCCGUUCCUCCUUGUUGAGCAGUCGUUCCUCCAUAUCCGAGAGUGAAACCUAGCCUGGCCGAAGGGGAGGCAACAUCGCAAAAAUGGUUAUGGAAGUAGAGAAAAUGAGGAACUCGAUGCAAUAUAGUGGAACGGGUGACGCGGAAACGUGGCGGGAAGAGGCGUCGGCAAUUGGGCACGUGGCGGUCUCCAUCAAUUGGCCCACUUCCCGAUGUCAUAGGCGUCUAGCUAUCUGCACCAUUGAGAGGAAGAAGAGAUGAGCCCCGCAGAAGACUGGGAAGGUAGGUGAAAGUUCCCUCCCGCGCGAACGGUUGGCAAAUGGACCACGCUCCGAACCAACACCCCACAACCUUCAAAAUAUGGAGGAUCGUCUUCUUGAUAUGUUGCGCCCUUCAUAAAUCAUAGUGAUCCACUGCCAGAUGGCGACUCUACUAGAGCGGAUUUUCAAUUAAAACCGACAUACAUAUGAUUAUUAUAUGGAUUGGAUCGAUAUGACGAUUUUGCUAGAGUUGCUCUAAUAUACCAGACCAGACUAGACAAGACCAAGACCAUAUUUUCGAUAAAGGGCAUUAUUAUUAUCUCAAAAUAUAGCAUCAAAUGGAUACAAAGCAUGAUAAGUCACACCGCACCUCUGCAUAAGCAUAACUAAGAUGCACACAAGCAAGCACCAACAGUCUGACAAAGAUUUUUUUUAAAUGACAUAUGCGCAACAAUAGACGGAAACUUCCUAUGGAGGCCCAGCCCCAGGGAGCUCGUUAUUUCAAAAAAAAAAGUCAUAUUUCAAAGUUCCAAAUUUUUCCAUGGACUGUUUUCUUUUGUACAGCCUACAAAACACAAAAGUUUCAAUUUUUUUCACCUUGUGGAAUUACAUUUUUUUUUCAAAACGAGCUCCAAGGAGCUCGGCCUCCAAAAGCCCUCACCCCAACAGUAGAGUCAUAUAAGACCGAUACUAUGCCUAUGUUAAAGGAGGAGGUGGAAUGAUCCAUAGAUUAUGUUGUCAACCAUAUUCGGUAAAAACCUUCAUGUCCACCCGCUCCAACCGCAUACGCACCGCCUUGAACAGCGGUUAGUACCCCGUUUGGUGUAGCGUAGACCACAUACGGAAGAGUGUGUACAUCGGAAAAUAACCUGCAUAGGAGAUGAGUUCUUUCAUCAAAAAUCAAAUCAUUUCUACAUAGACAAAGCGGCCAUAAUAAGGUAUACACUCUCACCCUUGUAAGUGUUUUAAACCUAUUUGAAAUACCAUCCAACCAGUGACCAAAAAUAUUUGCAACACUUGUGGACGGAUACAAGUUGGAUGCUAUUUGGAUGUUGACCAUGUCAAACCCAAACGUGCACUAAAAAAAGAGGUGUUUGAUUGACUCGUCGCGUGUACAACAGCCACACUUCAUACUUCCAUGUCAAUUGCGAUUGGCGAGGUUGUCUUUGGUAAGCACAACUCCAUUCGAAGAUAUCACAUAAGUAUUUUGACUUUUGGUGGAAUCUUAGACCUCCAAAUUUUCAUGUUAUUAUCCACCGUGACCUCUGAAUGCGUGAGCGCAUGGUACAUAGAGUCAACUGUGAAUGACUUAAUUAGAUGUAGUGAGGUUACAACGAAACACAUCCUUUCUUUCUGCCAGGUUAAUCGAAUCCAAACAGGAUAGAAGAUUUUUCCAUGACAUAACACGAAGGGUCAACCAAGUCUCGUCUAAAAGAAAUAUCUGACGGGAAUAAAAUGAGCAACCACGCAAGAGUAUCAUUCUUAACACGAACAUUGUGGUGCAACGUCGGAUAUUGUUCUAGAAGGAUGGCAUUGCCUAGCCAGAUGUUCUCUCUGAAAUAAAUUUCCGACCCAUCUUUAAUCGUGAAAAAUCCAAAGAGGAAAACAUAUUUGUUUGCCGUCGUUAGACCAACACAGAGUGGGAGUCUCAGGUUUUCAAUAAGCCUGAGACACAACCUUUUGGCUUAGAUAUUGUUGCGCAACAAGGCUUGCCAAACGUCAUCCUUAAUAAGUACCCCCUCCGUUAAAAAAUAUAUAUAUUUAGAGAUUUUAAAUGGACUAUCACAUAUGGAUGUAUAUAGACAUAUUUUAGAGUGCAUAUUCACUCGUUUUGCUCCGUAUGUAGUUACUUGUUGAAAUCUUUAGAAAGACAAAUAUUUAGAAACGGAGGGAGUAGUUUAAACAGCCAUUUUUCAAGUAAGACAUCAUUCUUGACCUGCCAGUCGUGAAUGCCGAGACCACAUUGGUCUUUUCGCCUACAAACCACGCUUUAUUUGACUAAUCUAUACUUUUUUUUUAUUUAGUCUCCUUGCAACAAGAAUCUGUAUUUGAAAUAAUCCAGUCUUUGCAAGAUCCUUUUGAGAGUUAAAAAAAGCAUAUAGAAAAUCAUAUUUGUGAGGACAGAAUUGACAAAUACUAACUGUCGAGCAACAUGCCUUUCUAACUGCUCAAUCAUUUCUCUAAGCGCUACGAAACAUGUUUCUACUCUGCAUUAGUGAGACGUUGAUAAUGGAUCGGAAUUCUCAAAUAUUUAAUCAGAAAUUGGCCUUGCGCACAUCCAAACAGGUCAGCGUAAUCACCGGCCUACUCGCACAAUUCACUUUUUAUGAAAGUUAAUUUUAAGCCGACAUGUGCUCAAGUAGACCAAGACCAUACAGACAUGUUUAGCUAAACUCAGCUCCCUUAUGCAGCUUGCGCCCUCUUUACUUUUUUCAUAUAAGCCAAGACUAGACGAGGCUAUCUUCGGCCAACUUUCUCACCGAACAAAAAGGGAACUAGCUAGCUACUACUAGUUGGAGGGCUCGAGACAGCAGAACCAAUUAUCAAUGUCUUUGAGAAAAGCAAAGGUUACACAUAUGUCUACUAUGAUAUCUGAAUAUCUGAAGGAGAAUGAUGCGGGACCAACAAUAUGGUUUAUUACCUGCUAUGGCGCUGCUAGCUAGUUCAGCUUCGGCCUGUCCAAGAAGCUCUUCCCCUAGAGCUUCGUCGCGAAGAACAGCUAGCUGAAGCUCUCAUGGUCCACCGUCUCAUAGGCUUCGUCUUCGCCGGCCGCCGCCAUCUCCGGGUGGGGAGUUCAUUACGUACCUGUGGGCUUUGCUCACUCAUUCAGAUAUCCUUGAGAGGCAGGAGGAUCAUCAAGUUGGAAGCGUGUAGCACUGCACCACCCAUUUGUUCAUCAUGGUGUGGGUCUGUACCGCUUGUUCUUCAGUGACUGCGUUUUCUGUUAUUUUUCCUAAUAGAAGUGGCAUGUAAUGUCCGGCAGCAUGCCUUUUUUUGUCGGAUACACGAACCUCGUGAUUGGUUAGUUCGUGACAUCUCAUGUUUCCAAGCUUGAACAUAACCUCUCUGUAUUUGGUGAUUGGUUAACUUGAUCUUAUUGUGAUGUAUUGCGUGCCUAUUUACAUGAUUAUCACAUCUAUUACAUGUCUUUCUUUUUUUUGACAAAGGGUGGAUUUUAUUGCCCAGAAUGAAGCAUCAAGAAGAUACAAACACAAUGAAUACACACCCGGCCUCUGCAUAACUAAGAUGCACACAGCCAACACUAACCCACACAAAUAAAUCCGCCGGCAAAUAGCAAAGUAAUACAAGACCAAAGCCAUGCCUAAGCUAGGAAAAAAAGGACCUGAAGCGAUCAACAACGAUCGACAAACUACAACAACGACCGUAUCCACACAAACUAUAUCUUGACAUCACAAGGACCACGAGAUUCUUCAACAGCAACGCCUUCAGGAAGGAAACGACGCUCAAGUGUCGCCGUCACCGAAUCAAACCAUUAGAGGCCAUAUUUUAGGUUUUCACCCUGAAAAACAAAUCCGAGCAUAUCCGAGUAAUGCCUUCAACAAGGUAACGAUGCAAACACAUCAUCAUUGCCAGAUGUAACCAACUUGGGUCAAACCUAGGAUUUUUCACCCUGGAGCUUAAGAUCGGGUACUCGAGAAGUACCAUCAAAUCGAAGUCAAUCAUGUGUUGUCGCCACCACUUUCCCCCGAUCCCAACAGCUGCAUGCUUGGCGAGAAAUACCCGACGCUGCUGCACAUUCAUACCCUCUGCGUCAAGUGUCGUCCAUAGAUUGCAUCUUAUCAUCGAAAGCAAACUGGCCGGAAUAAGAGCUACCGGAACUCACAAAGGAGCCAUCCGGCCACAUCGCGCAACGCCGUCAGUAUGAGCCGCUGGUAGCCGCCAUCGGAUCUGGAGAGAAAAAACUCACAAAGAACUUUCCAUGGCCACCACAAAACUUAGCAAGGUCACCACUGCUGUAGCCAGUCCAAGACCAAUGUUCUGCUCAAGCAUGGCCGAAGCACAUCAAUGGUAGCUACAGGAAACACUAGCAGCCCGCCCGUCCCAAUGUGGAGACCUACAACACGAUGCACCAAUCAUCUGUUGGUCAAACCACGAGCCCAUGGGCAUCAGAUCGGGGGAAGGAUCCAGCAAGCUUUGCGUGCACCCUCGCCCAAUUCAGCGGUCGACGCUGCAGACGUCCAGCACAGUACGCCAUGGCCUCAAGCCCGGACGCGACGAAUCACCAACUCCACCGAGGCAGCCGCCGCCGCCAGAUCCAGCAGCCCACGUGGGGAACUGCGCCCAAUCACGCGGCCGACGCCGCGCACACCGCUGCCACACCAUCCCGAAAAGCGCCCUGCCGCCGCCAUCCUAGGAGCCAGCCGAGCUUUGUCGGUCGGCCCCUCCGGCGACGGCAAGACGGAGCAAGGAAACUGGCGGCGCUAGGUUUACAUGUCUGACUUCACACUGUGGUAUUCAGAAAUGACAACAGAAGAUCUUCAUUGGUUGGCUUAAACGAUUACCUCUGCAAAUUGUGUGUAAGGUUUCGUUCUAAGUAAAUCAUACGAAAUUUAUCUUAUCAUUCUGUGUGCAGGUGCACCGAAACAGUCGGCUAGCAGAGAAUACCUGGUUAUGUUGUUGUCAGCAACUUAGGCCCUGUUUGAUAGCAAAGUAUUUUCUAAGUUUUUGACAAUACUACAGUUUUUUAGAUUAUCAUAGUUUUAUUUACAAUGAGGUGUUUGGCUGUCCUUUAAAACUGUGUUUUCAAUACUACAGUAUUUACUAAAUCAUGGUUUUUUCUCUGUAUUAAAAAAAAAGCCCCAUACCUCUUUUUUAAAAACAGAGCAGCGGUAAAGAACGGCAUGGCACUCCGUUAUCCUCUCCCCCGCUAUUCUCAACAACUCGCCUUUGCUCCCUGCCGCGGCUGCUGCCCUGCCCAAGCGUCCUUUUUUAUAACCUGCAAGCCUUGAGCAUGGCUGUGUAGUGGAGUUCAGUUUGUGCAAGCUUCGGUUGUUAUGCAUGCGGAUGGUAAGGAGUGGCCAGCUGGGUAACUAGAUAGAAAAUGCCUCUAUGGCCGUGUGCAUGGCCGUUCUUUGGCCGGUCGCUAUGCAAUGGCUAGCUCCUUUAGAAAAACGGACGUGUUUGAAGCAGUACAACUAAUUUUACAACGCUGUGUCAAACAGCUUCUCUGUACUGUUAAUACUUUAAAAUACUCUGCUAUGUCAAUACCACGGUAUUUCAUACCAACUGACUAAAUUACUGUAGUUUUUGAUACUGUAGUUUUUUUAGUACUUUGCUAUCAAACGGGGCCUUAGUGUUGAUAAGUUGUUGCUGUGCCCUGAAGACCUGAACAACAUUUUUGUGCGGAGCCAAGCUGAUAAUGAAAGUCGAAAGGAAUGGUAUCUUGAGAAGCAGGACCUUGAUCAGUCAGCUGGGCGUGUACAUAAGAAAGAGGAACGCGGCACUCAUGGUUUCCUCGUGGCACAGAGAAGAGGGUACCUGUUACGGCGCUCCUGUUAGAAAGAGGGUGCGAGAGGGCCGGCCGGGGGCCUUUUUGCCCACGGCCGGACAAGAGGGAAGGGAUUUUCUUCUUAAUUCUUGCUUGAUUAGAUUAAUACAUCUCCUUUUUUUAUAUAGAGAGGUUUACUUGACUCCCAAACAAGGCUUACUUGACCCCUAAGCAAGCGAUCCUUAUCUUUAAUUAACCUAAGACUAACGGGCUAUACCGCCAGCCCAGGCCAUUAGGCCCAUUACAUACUCUAACACUACACUCCACCUGGACAUGCAGCUUGUCCUCGAGCUGCAGCCUAACCAACUUAUAACCAUGACUCUACGCAACACAAACCUAACAUCUAAAAACAAGCCUUUUACAUCUCGGCUUGUUUUAUUACUCUCAACCUGAAAUGGACUGGGACGAUUUAUUUUGGACCCCUUAACAAAAAGUGGACACCAUCCGCACGUCGGACGUGUACGUGUACAGCCACCUGGAUCCCAUGGACACCAUCUGGACAAAAGGAGUGCAUGUGUAUGGGCACCUGGAAGUAGUCGCCAGAGCGACCAGCAGAGAUACCCUCGCGGCGGCCAGCGGAAUGCAGUGGUGCUACGCGAUGCGCUCCUGUUGGUGACACCCUGCCUUCUCCCUGUCGGACGGCUGUUGGUUUGCACUGCACAGAGAAGAGUGGAGGGCUUGCGAUGGAGAAUGACGAGGAGGGGUGAGCCCCCCCAACCGCCGAUGUCGCAGACUUUGAGGUCGCUGCCCGCGGGGAAAACAGUAUGCCCAAGAUCCUCGACGCAACGGACGAAAUCGAGGUCCUUUGCGCAAUUUGGUAUCAGCUAACUUUGCUUCGAUCAUGUCUUCCUCCAUCGCGCCCGCCCCCGCCGUCCUCACCCUGGAGGAGGUGUCCGGGGCGCUGCGGGACCUAACCCAGGCGGUCCAGGAGAUCCGCCUGUUCUUGGUCGGGUCCUACAGGCCGCACCCGGCUGCGCCGCCUAUCGCCGCCACAGCGCCGCCGUGGCUGCCGAGGCAGACGCCGCANNNNNNNNNNNNNNNNNNNNNNNNNNNNNNNNNNNNNNNNNNNNNNNNNNNNNNNNNNNNNNNNNNNNNNNNNNNNNNNNNNNNNNNNNNNNNNNNNNNNNNNNNNNNNNNNNNNNNNNNNNNNNNNNNNNNNNNNNNNNNNNNNNNNNNNNNNNNNNNNNNNNNNNNNNNNNNNNNNNNNNNNNNNNNNNNNNNNNNNNNNNNNNNNNNNNNNNNNNNNNNNNNNNNNNNNNNNNNNNNNNNNNNNNNNNNNNNNNNNNNNNNNNNNNNNNNNNNNNNNNNNNNNNNNNNNNNNNNNNNNNNNNNNNNNNNNNNNNNNNNNNNNNNNNNNNNNNNNNNNNNNNNNNNNNNNNNNNNNNNNNNNNNNNNNNNNNNNNNNNNNNNNNNNNNNNNNNNNNNNNNNNNNNNNNNNNNNNNNNNNNNNNNNNNNNNNNNNNNNNNNNNNNNNNNNNNNNNNNNNNNNNNNNNNNNNNNNNNNNNNNNNNNNGGCAGCCGCCGCUCCUGGCGGGCUCCGCCGCGCCCGGCGCUCCGCCGCAGCAGCCACUGCCACUGCCCGGCGCGGCACCGCAGCAGCCGCUGCAGCCACCGCCGGUCAGCUCCGGCCCUUCAUCGACCGCACCUGGGGAGUCCCGAUCCACCAGAUCAAGUUCCUGCCGUCGCCAUCACCGUUUCCCCAGGGCAUCCCCAUCCAGCAGAUCAAGUUCCCGACGUCGCCGUCACCGCUUCCGGCUUGGAUCACUACCUGCCACGUGUCAGCAGCGGUGAGGCUGCAGGCUGCUGCGCGCGGCCUCCUAGCGCGUCGGAGUGUGCGGGAGAUGUGUGGUCUGCAGCUGUCGCUACUCCCAGUUGCGCUUCACUGCGCAAAGGACCUCGAUCUCGUCCACUGCGUUGCGGAUCUUGGGCAUGUUGUUUUCCCCACAGACAGCGACCUCAAAGUCUGCGAUGUCGGCGGUUGGGGAGGCACACCCCUCCUCGCCAUUCUCCAUCAAUAGCCCUCCACUCUUCUCUGUGUGGUGCAGACCAAUAGCCGUCCGGCGGGGAGAAGACAUGGUGUCACCGACAGGGGCGCACCACGUAGCACCACUGCACUCCGCCGCCGGCUGCCGCGAGGGCGCCUCUGCUGGUCGCUCUUGCGACCACUUCCAGGUGGCCAUACACAUGCACUCCUUUUGUCCAGAUGGUGUUCAUGGGAUCCAGGUGGCUGUACACGUGCACGCCCGACGUGCGGAUGGUGUCCACUUUAUGUCAGGGGUCCAAAAUAAAGUGUCCCAGUCCAUUUCAGGUUGAGAGUAAUAAAACAAGCCGAGAUGUAAAAGGCUUGUUUUUAGGUGUUAGGUUUGUGUUGCGUCGAGUCAUGGUUAUAAGUUAGGACUAACGGGCUAUACCACCAGCCCAGGCCAUUAGGCCCAUUACGUACUCUAACAGUACCACAUCUCACGUUGACGCGGUUAUUGUUCUUUGCCUUCUCCUAGUUGCCAUUCAGAUGGUGUUAUCUGAAGCGGUCUUAUCAGUAUCUGUUGCGCCAUAAUCAUGGCUUUACUUGCACCGGCUGCCUGUGAGUUCCGCUUUCCUUCAUCCAAAGAGAUUGAUCCAUUGUUGCCUGCAUCUUUCUUCAUACUAGAAAAAUAAAGUACUACUACACUUGCGUUCACACGUUCACAUAGCAGUUCACAGGCUUUGUAGCUAAACUAAGCAACCUUCAGAAACCGAACAACAAUUGUACAUGCGUUGAGCAUCAACAACCAUGAGAGGGUACUUUGCCUUAAUUUUUCGAAUAUACAGCUCUCACACCGAUUUUUGCUGACACGAAAACUGACAGUACAACUAUUUCAGUGUGUCUAAGGACGACUGAAAUGCAAAAAACAACCGUAAUAGUGAUGUCAUUAGCGAAAAACCACCACUUUUCAGGCCGUGACAAAAAUCACCAGACCAAAAAAUCACCCCACCGUUGAACAGGGCUGAUUUCGAUGGAUCUUGCAGUUUGCCAGUGCAUCUUCCAGCUGUUUGGGGAAGCAUCAGGCUUAAGGAUCAAUGUGAACAAGUCGGCUGCCUUGCCGAUUCGAUGUACAGAAGAAGAAAUCAACUUGGUAUGCACACAGCUUGGAUGCCCCUUGGGUUCGUUCCCUAUUAAGUACCUCGGGCUGCCACUGUCUUUACGAAAGCAGACCGCGCCUCAACUGCAAUAUCUCGUGGAUCAAAUGGCUAAUAAACUGUCGAAGUGGAGUGCCGCUCUAAUGCCGAAGAGUGGAAGGCUGACCUUGGUGCAGUCCGUCCUAUGUGCCAUGCCGAUCCAUGCGAUGAUGGCGUUGGACUUGCCCAUGAAAACGAUUGCAUCUUUCUUCAUACUAGAAAAAUAAAGUACUACUACACUUGCGUUCACACGUUCACAUAGCAGUUCAUAGGCUUUGUAGCUAAACUAAGCAACCUUCAGAAACCGAACAACAAUUGUACAUGCGUUGAGCAUCAACAACCAUGAGAGGGUACUUUGCCUUAAUUUUUCGAAUAUACAGCUCUCACACCGAUUUUUGCUGACACGAAAACUGACAGUACAACUAUUUCAGUGUGUCUAAGGACGACUGAAAUGCAAAAAACAACCGUAAUAGUGAUGUCAUUAGCGAAAAACCACCACUUUUCAGGCCGUGACAAAAAUCACCAGACCAAAAAAUCACCGCACCGUUGAACAGGGCUGAUUCCGAUGGAUCUUGCAGUUUGCCAGUGCAUCUUCCAGCUGUUUGGGGAAGCAUCAGGCUUAAGGAUCAAUGUGAACAAGUCGGCUGCCUUGCCAAUUCGAUGUACAGAAGAAGAAAUCAACUUGGUAUGCACACAGCUUGGAUGCCCCUUGGGUUCGUUCCCUAUUAAGUACCUCGGGCUGCCACUGUCUUUACGAAAGCAGACCGCGCCUCAACUGCAAUAUCUCGUGGAUCAAAUGGCUAAUAAACUGUCGAAGUGGAGUGCCGCUCUAAUGCCGAAGAGUGGAAGGCUGACCUUGGUGCAGUCCGUCCUAUGUGCCAUGCCGAUCCAUGCGAUGAUGGCGUUGGACUUGCCCAUGAAAACGAUUGCAGCUAUGAACAAGAUAUGUAGGGUAUUCAUAUGGUGCAGAAGGACGGAAGCUAACGGUGGAAACUGUGCAGUCGCUUGGGAGACAGUUUGCACACCAAUGUGGGCAGGUGGUUUAGGAUUGCCAAAACUUGCGCUGGAUGAACGUGGCCAUGCAGUCUAGAUGGCCCUGGCUCAAAAGAACAGACACGACCAGGCCUUGGAAUGAGUUCAAAAUCAAAGUGCCAAAUGAUUCCAUGCUUCUCUUCCAGGAAGCCACGAGGAGCAUUGCACACAAUGGGAUCACGACACUCUUCUGGGAGGACCGUUGGUUACAUGGGCAGAGGGUUCAGGAGGUUGCCCCCUUGAUUUACAGCACGAUACCAGCACGGACUAGAACUACCAGGAUGGUCGGGCAUGCCAUAGAGGAUGGAUCAUGGGCCCGGGAUGUGGGUCCGAAUCUAGGACCGGAAGCAUUGCAGGAAUUUCUUUUGCUUUGGCAGAAAGUUAUCACUUGGUAGCCUACGGAGAACAUGCAGGAUGAAAUUACAUGGUCCUGGGAGACCAACGGUCAGUUCUCGGUUCGCUCGGCAUAUGCGGCCAAGUUUUGGGCGAGAGAAGCGGUACAUAUGACGGAUCUAACUGCGUGCGCCCUCACAACGCAAGUUUUUCACUUGGCUUGCUCUACGAGAUAGAUGCUGGACACCGGAUCGCCUGGCACGACGAGGGCUACUGCACUAGGACGCGUGCCCCUUUUGCGACCAGGAGCGGAAAACAAUCAACCAUCUAUUGCUCAUGUGCGUCUUUGCCAGGAUGGUCUGGACUGUGAUCUGUGAGGCCCUGGGGCGGCCAGAUUGGGUGCUGGCACAACAGGACAAUCUUACACCUUGGUUGAGCAGCAAACAAGGAUCAAACAACAUGAGCAUGAAGGAUCUGCGCACCAUCCUAGGGCUAACAAUGUGGGAACUAUGGAAGCACAGGAAUGCCAUUGUCUUUGACGGCGCACAGCCUUCGUGUGAGGUGCUGCUACGUAGAAUUAGGCUAGAGGGUUUAGUGUGAUUGUCGGCAGGCCUACUAAAGGGCGAUGUAAACCCCUUCUUUAGUCAGGUAGCGAGGUGGGAUAGGCGUGAGGAGUAGAGUGCCUUAAAUCUCUUGUAACUAUGGUGAAGGCAUUCUUUUACCCUUCUUCUUUAAUAUAUGAUAUGCACAUUCGUGCAUAUUCGAGAGAGAGAAAAAAAGACAGGGCUGAAAACUAAACCACUGUCAGUUUUUUUGCUGCAGUGAUUUUUGCCAUGGUUUGUAAAAAGACCUUUUACGAUACAUCAGAUCAAUAUUGGCCGUUUAUUUUAUGUGUUUGGACGGUCCAGAUUUGAAAAUACGACCAGGGGCAGUUUAUGCCGUUUAUUGGUAGUAUAUUUUAUGACCAGGGGCAGUUUCGGUAGUUCUGUUUAGCAAAUACGCAUCUAUGGCGUCUUGGGAGCACCAGCAGGGCCAGCUAUGCGAGGGAUCUCCACUACGACAUGCGGAGGAACCGAUUUAAGGCGCCGUCCGAAGAACUGCGACGGAGAGAGGGCUGUUGGCACAGGCCCGACCUCGACAACGGAGAGAGAGCUAAUCGGUUCCUUCAGAGAGGUAGACGUAUACACGAAGCAGACUAGUAGGCUCCUGGAUCGAUUCUUCCCCUGGCUUGAAGGUGCACGUACACGGCUACGAGCAGCCGGCCGGCGGAUCGAUCUUGGUAGCAACUAGCCGAAACAAGGGCCGUGUGGCGGUUGCGCCGUCGAAUAUCUUGAGGUGACGACCACAGGCCGGGAGACGGAGCGGCCGGCCCUGUGCGGCCGUUGGCUGCCGGAGCGCCUGCGUCGACAAAAUAAUGAUGAACUGUACGGAGAUUUUUCUUUUUUAGAACAGGAGGAAUACCCCGACCUCUGCAUUUGGACGAUGCAUACGGCCAAUUUAUUAAUUAUUAACUCAAGACCUUAUAAAGUCGUACAACGGUAAGACCAAAGCCAUCAUCUGAGCAACCUCUGUCGCUACUCCUAUCUAGCUGAUGAAGGGGCGCUGAUGAUCUGGGCGUAAUAUCAAACAGACCUCGCAGCCAAACCUAACAUCUAAGGCCUGAGGUCCCAACCAGGACGCCUGCCGGGUAUGGGCACCCACCAGUCCGGCGUGCUCCUCAACCAGGACGCCUGCCGGGUAUGAGGCCGCCACAGCCACCUGCCACAUAUCCAUCUUCAGAGCUGUACUGCUGCAUCGGCCUUGCCCGGUCUCGCUGCCGCCGACGCCACCAUGACACCAGACAACGUCGACCUCCUGCGCGUGUCCGUCAUCACACAUCUGACGCCAAGCUUCCGCUGCUCCAUGCCGCCAAGAGCCGCCGCCAAGAACAUGUAGAAAAGAAACACCGCUCCACCGAAAGGGAGGCAGCACACCCCCACCCCUCACCUGCAGACCCUCCCAUCCGAUCCCAAUGUCCUUGGCGCCGCCUCCAGGAAGGUUACGGUGCACGGGGCGCCGCCGACGCCCGAUCCGCAUCGGAUCUUGGGCUUUCGCCAGGACAUGGGUCGGAGUGGAGAGAUGGUGUCCUCAGCAGCGCCCCCAAGGAGGAAAGCGGCGCCAAAAGGCGGCGGCGCCGCUGUCGGCCAGCCAAGGCGGCCAAGGUUUCCCUCGGACACCGAUCUGCUCCACCAGAACACACCGGAGGUGGAUCCGGCAAGAUCCAAAGCCAAACCGGGGACUGGGAAGGGAUGCAUGGAAGGGAGGGCAAUACCUCCAGAUCAGGCACGGGAAGAUCCGCGCCGCGCUCGGCCACCACCUGCGGCUCGCCGUCCUCACGGCCGAACCCCCAGGCACGCCGCACGCCCCGCCAGUAGGGGCCGCCGCCCCUGGAUCCGAGGGCCUCCGCGAGAGAGGAGCGCCGAAGACCCCGCCGCCACCUUCCCCGGCGCCCGCGCGGGCUUUCCCGGCGGUCGUCUCCGGUGGCGGCGAGGGGGGUGGGGGGUGGGGGGUGGCGGUGGGGGAGAACCCUAGACUCCCCCGAGUCGCCCUAGGGGCGACGCGAGGGAUGGGAGGGGCGGGAGAUGUGAACUGUACGGAGAGAUGAGGGGCAAACUUAUGAACUGUGUGAGAACGAGGGGCCAACCUACGAACUAAGAUGGGGGAUAAUUCUUUUCUUCAGGUGUCAAUUGCAAUUACUCAUAUAGAGUACUUAUUAAUCAUUACAAUUAUAAGAGUAAGAAAGGUCAAAUCCCCUAACAGACAAUUACCAAAAUGUCAUGCAGAAAAAAAAUUGGAUUAAUAAUGACCAUUAGAUCACUUAUAUACUACCCAUUGUUUCCAGUAGUAUGAUGUACCGUAAAAAGUCUUUUUAUAAAGUGGUGGUUUUUCGCUAACGACACCGCUACUGUGGUGCUUUUUGCAUUUCACUCUCCAAGGACAUUGCAGGGGAAUCACAACACCCUCCGGUAACAGGUUCGGGACAUCUCACAACUCUCUACUGAAAACUACCACUUAAACCACAUAAGCAUACAGAAAAACUUGCACAACAACAAGAAUUUUACUAUCUUUCUACAUGUACUGAUUUCAUCGCUAGUCCGCAAUUCUUCUCAGCAAAAGUCCCCAGCCACAGCUUUGCAUGCUACUGUAGAACUCAAUUGCCAUUUGUUGCAGUCUUGUUAUUCCUUGUCGCUGUAGCUCUUGGUAGCUAUAAUGUUACUAAAAAACACUGGCAUUUAGCAAACUGCUAUCGAACUAGAAACGCCUUGGCCCUCUCCGGGUCAGCUAUACUUUGUGGCUUUGUAGGCCACAGCACUCCUGUUCCAUGCAUCCAACGCGAUUUUUUUUCUGCGGGUAGGCUUCCAACGCGAUUGAAUUGGAGGCUGUUAGAACUUCGAAAAGCAUCUCGUGUCAACACUUCAGAAGAUCAGAGCUGAUUCAUAUCAGGCUGUGUAUAUACUACCUGAAUGCAUUUGGGUUAGUGUGGACAGCAACUCUCUGCACCAUAUGCCAUUAGGGUGCAUUCUUGAACGGUGAGUGCUCCUACAAUUUGUUGCUCUGUGUGACAAACUGCCAAGGAAACACACAGGCGCGUGCGUUCAUGGGCCGGCUCAGUUCGGGGGUCUAGCACUGUCUGCACGCCAUCUGCGGUUUCUUGUGAGUUUUCUUUCUUUUUUAAAUUUUCCAAUUGGUUUUUUGUUAUUUACACAGAACACAAUUUUUUAAAUGAUUUUUGUGUAAUUACAUGUACUUUUAAAAAAAUGCGUGAACAUUUUUGUAAAAAUACAUGAAUACUUUAUUAAAUAAUCACAAUGUAUUUUUAAAAAUGUUCAUAUACACACAAGAAAAUAUAUUUUACAAACAGAAAAUAAAAGGAUACAUAACAACAAAAUAGAUGCUUAUCUAUACCAGAGGGGGUAGCAAAUCAAGCGUUUAUCCCUCCACAAAUAAGCAUGGUGCUUUAAAUAAACCGAUUUAUUUUUAAACAUCUCACGCAUCUUGCUUUGUAGACUAAGACUAUCCCCAUCGGUCUCCAUGGUUUCCAUUGGCGAACGGCUGGGGAUGGAGAGCUGUGCCGACAAUUCCACAUUAUAUGCUAACAAGGGAUAUAACCGCGCCUCCCAUUUUUCUAGGUGAAACUAAAAGGCCCAUAAAGGUACUAUCAUAACUAUUUUGAACCUAUGAUAUUUUUGGUACCCGGCCAGAAGGCUACACACAAAGAAAAGUUUGUCGUUCAUUGCCACAGGCAGGCCACAUAAAGGGGAAAAUCAAAUAAAACAUGGCGCGGCCGCAGCACCAACGGCAUUCUCGGGGCGGUCUCGGGAGCUCCUAUAUGAUGCGUUAAGCGUCAAGUAGUCGCCCCAUCUCACAAAGGACGUGUCGCCUGGGCCGGCCUAUUGGCCACUAGGUGUAGUGAGCGGGCGCAUGUAGCGGAAUGAACGACUGGUAUGAACUAGCUUUUGUAGCGGCCGCCACUGUAGUGACUCGAAGAAGUGUAGCGGAUUUUUUUUUGUUCAAUAAACAAACAUUUUUUGAAAUUCCGAAUUAUAUAAAAUUGGGAAUAUGUUUUGGAAACAUGAAAUUUUCUUGAAUUUGUGAAUAAAAUUUUGAAAAAGGGAAUGUUUUUUAGAAUUCUGAAAAAAAAUUGGAAACAAAAAAAUCUGAAAUUCUGGACAAUUUUUGAAAGUAAACAAUUUUUUAAAACUCGAACAUUGUUCAAAUAUGUGAUCACUUUUUGAAAACGUGAUAAUUCCUCAAAUAUGCCAACCUUCUUUCAGUUUUCCGAACAUAUUUUGAGAAGAAAUAUUUUUUUGAAAUUGUGAACAGCUUUUUGGAAAAUCAAACAUUUUUUUAAUUUGCAAGCAUUAUUUGAUAAAAUUUGAACGUUUUUGAAUUGUGAACUAAUUUAAAAUUUACAAACAUUUCUGAAAUUGUGUUUUUCUAAAUUCACGAAAAGUUUAUAAAAAAAUUGUGAUUUUUUGCAAAAAAGGGAAAAAGAGAAGAAAAAGAAACAAAAAUCAAAGGAAAAAACUAUAAAGGAACAAUUGAGAACGGAAAAACCAUUAAAGAAAAUAAUAGAAAACGGAAAACCGGUACAGGAGCCUUCUGGAAGAUUCCUUUCCCAAACUCAGUCAGGAACCUUCUGGAAGGUUCCCAAACCAGAACGUGUGGAAAUGUGGUCUGGCCCAUCUAACUCUCAUUCGCCCCCUCUCCUCCUAUGCGUUUCAACGGGGAGCUCCUAUUUGACGCUCGUUAGCUUCAAACAGCAGAGCUUCCGCGCAGGGCUCGCGCAAACGGGCCGGCCCAUUACCAGGCCACGAGUGAACAUAAGAAAAAACGCUACAAACGAAAAAUUAAAGCCUGGUUGGAUUCGAACCGGCGACCUACGCUGUACGGCUGCGUCCUCAGCCACUGCACCUAGCGACUUGGAUUGGUUAUAAGUACAAGGUCAACUUGAAGUACUAUGUACGGAGGCAGAUCCGGUUUUUAAUCUUCAUUCAAAAGAAGAGAGAAUUCCUUAUUUGGCCAUUUCUUAAAUUUUGGUUCCCUUUUUGGCCCUAGUAAAAAAAUUCUUCCUGUUCUAGCACUCAAACUUCAGUUUGUUCCCUAUAUGACAUUUCCGUCAGUUUUGGCAACUAACACCGUUAAAUCCGACAUGAAAAGUCCUUUUUACCCUUGGUGUAGUUUGUGACCAAAAUUGUGCACUGGAAGUCAAAAGCAAUGGUGAUGUGAUCUGUUUGUCUUGAAUACAUUACCAAAUGAAACCAAAUCUGCUAUUUAGCACAUCUUUAAUUUUAAUUGGAUAAUUGUUCAGAACCUCCUUGUAUUUUGAUGAUAUAUCCCCUGUACAGUUCAUAUAUGCACAAAUUAUAAUAUACUUGGAGCAGAUUCACAUGUAUGCAAACUAAAAGUUCAUAGAAACUUGGUCCAGGUUCACAUAUACGGAAACAGUCCACAUAUUUAGUCCUCUACACACAUUCAGGUUCACAUAGAGUUCACAUAUAAUAGUCCAGGUUCACAUCAUGUCAAAUACAACACAUGAAGGUCACAUAUAGCACGUACAAAAGCCCAGGUUCACAUAUAUAUUACAUAAACAGCUCAAAAGUUUCCCAAAUGAACCAUGAUAUGGAAAGGGAUCCAAUGAGAAUCACAAGCUACGCCUCCUUUUGCUUCGUGUGCUCAUUGCAGGGCUGGCGGGAUUCAUUUUUUUGCUACGUGUGCCCAUUGCAGGGCUAUCAUGUGGCACCAUAGGAAGGUGUGGCAACUUAUCAGCAACCUCUUUGCCUUUUCUUUUGGCAUGUAAUUUCAAAGCAACAAAUGCUUUCUUGUUGGCCACACAAAUGGGUUGAGUUCUUGAUCUACACAUACACAUUCAUGGCAGCACAUCAUACAUCACAUAUAGUAGCCCAGGUUAACAAUAGAACAAUGCAUAACAUAACAUAAAAUUCGGAAACAACCAUAGGUUACCUUUUUGCUACUCUAGAUCCAGAUUUACUCCCUUUCCCUUUUUCCUUAGUUGUUUUCUCCAACAUUUGGCUAUAGUGAGAAGAAUGCAAUUAGAAUACAAAACCAAGCUUUCAUCUAAUCUACUACAAAAUUCAGAACUAGUUCUUACCUUUUUGAUGCUCCAGUAAUUGAGUUAUCGUGUUUUCUCUUUUUCGUAGUUGUAGGUUCCAAGCUUUGGCUAUUGUGAGAAGUUACUUAGAAUUCAAACACAGAUUUCAUAUAAUUAUGAGCAUGAGUGUAAAGUGGCUAACCUUGGCGGAAAGCACAUAGAGGCUGCUGGAGCAUCAUCCUCGCAAGGCACAAUUGAUGCUUUGGUGGUCUUUGCCCUCUUCUUUGGCGGUCCUCUACAUGAGCAACAAAAAAGUAGUUAACAUGUAUGGCUGCUUACAAAAAAUGCAAGUGAAGCAAGUGAAGCAAGUUACACAAUUAAAUUUAUUACCUCACAGCUAAAAUAGCAGCAAUGUCAUCUGGGUUACCCUUCUUGCAUUUAUGCCAAUGAUGCCCAUAGUCCUUACACAUAGGGCAUAAGUGUUGGCCGCUUUUUCUUUUCUUCUCACUGCAGCCUUUAUACCUCUCAGUUUUAUGCCUACCCGCCGUGGAUUUUAGUAGUGGUGGAAACAUGAAGAAUCCAUGGUCAGAUUUAGGCCAUUGGUUCUUGUCAACCAUGGCAGGAAUUAGUUGGUCAUAGGCUGCCUUAAAUUUGUCAAUGUGGGGAAGAAUCAACCCAACCAGCUUCCUUGCUACUUUCCUCCUUCGGUUCCACAUGAUCAUAAUUAUCUGCCUAACCUUAUCAAAGAAGUCGUCCAAGUUCAAGGACUUGUGAUGCUUAAUCCAAUUAUUGAAGCACUCAGCCAAGUUGUUUGUAACAUAAUCCACCUUGGAAAUUGUUGAGAACUGACUCCUAGACCACAACCUAGUGUGCCACCUCCUAAGAUAUGCAGUUGCCGCAGGCUUUGCUAUGUCCAUUGCAGCCCAAUGUUUUUCAAAUAUAUAUGGGUUCCAUGAGUAAGCAGCAGCCCAAAGGUGGUCAUCAAACACCUUUCCAUGAAACUUCUUCUUGAAGUUGGACACCAAGUGAAACAUACAUUCCCUAUGUUCAGCCUCUGGGAACACUUCCUUUACACCUGUCAUCACUGGUUGCCCAGCAUCGGUGCAUAUGGUUAAACCCCUUGGGGAUCCUAUGGCUUGUCUAACCAUUUGCAUGAACCAGGUCCAAUUCUCAUUAGUUUCAGAAUCGAAAACACCCAUACAAACUGGAUACAUCCAACUAUGGCCAUCAACGCCAGUAGCACUAGCCAGCUGCCCCUUGAACCUGCCUGUCAAGAAGGUGCUAUCUACUGCCAAGUAUGGCCUGCAGCCAUUAAGGAACCCGUCGAUGCAAGGCUUCAAAGCAACAAAAAUUCUUUUAAAUCUGAUUUUAUCUUUUAUUGUGUGAUGAUCAAUGAUCACUAUGCUACCGGGGCAGCAACUUUCAAUUUGCGCCUUGAAACUAUACAGAUUAUCAAAGCUUGUAUCCCAAUCACCAUAUAGUUCCUUCAAGGCUAGCAGCUUACCCAUAUAGACUCUCUUAGAGUUGAUGUCGAUUCCAUGAUGCUCUUUAAGCUUCUUUCGCAAUGCCUUUGGUCCUAGAGUUGCAUCCUCAAUUAGCCAGUCCUUCACGUGCUCACAUAUCCACCGCUUGUUUGCAUUCUUCAACUUCUUUUUUCUUUUUGUACUAGAGCAAUCAUGACCACAAGGGUUCUUUCUCACCUACAAAAGAUGAACAUAGAAAAUUAGUACUAGAGUAAAGACCAUGACCACAAAUUAAGCACACAUGAGUAAAGUUAAAAAAUUACCAUUACUGUGCACUCAUCUUCCAUUGUAGAAGCAUAUAUCCUCCAUGGACACUUAUCUUCAUCCCUUCUUGAACAAUAAGCUCUGAACCUAUGUGGUGCACUCUUUUCGGUGUCAAACUCAAAUUCAUGUUUGAUUGCAUGCCGAGAGAGCGCCAAUUUAAACUCUGCCAUAUUGGGAUAUUUUCUUCCUUCGUUCAUUGGAGGAUCUAAUUUAUUAUAUUCAAUGUGUGGUGCAUGAUCUGCCUCGUGAUAUUCCUCAUCUUCCUCUACUUCAACCUCUGACAUGCUCUCAUCCUCGCUCUCAACCUCGCUCUCAUGAUCAGGAACAUAGUCUUUGUCCUUUUCUUUAUUGGAACAAGGAACCAUGAUAAGAGGUACAUGUUCAUCCUCUAAAUAAAUAUUUUCCUCAUCAACACCAACAUGCUCAUUCUCAGGUACUGGGUUGCGAAGAUAAUCAUCAUCAUCUUGUUCUAUGUUGUUAGGUUGGCUAUGCGCAUCACUAUGCCACUCCGUUAUAGGCUCAUAUGGUUCCGAUGGAUCACAAUAUGCAACAAACAUGUGCACAACCUUUGUCUUAGAGUGUUUCUCAAACAUCGACACCAAUUCUUGGUCAGAUGUUACUUCAGGGUAGAUUUUAAGAACAUCAUCAUAGUACUGAACAUGUUCAACUUCCAAAUAACGAGGCGAGUACUGCUCUACGAUUGAUUCAACCAAGUCCUUAUAAUUUGUUAAGUCGGAAUCAAUAACCUUAUCAAAACAGAAGCAUUUGAUAUCCUUUCUAGCCUUUUUUGGGUUGCCAAGCAAAUUGAUUUUCAGCACAUAAGUUGAAUUUCGAUCCAUCCUGUAAAAACCAGAAAGACAAAAAAAAAAGAUUCUAAGGAAUCAAAAAAAGGAAAAAUUGGCAAAGCUUCUUUGCUCUAGGUAGAGGCGGCUGUGCUUUUCAUUUUCUUUGAUCUUUCAAAUAAACUUAAUCAUGAGUUGCAUUUGGGAUCCAUCUCUAAGUUCAAAUUUUGCAUCAAAUUAUCAUCUCUAAAUGAAACUCCUAAGUAAUCUGUUGCAUUUCGACAAAUCUAGAAGAGAGGUGCAACAAAUAUGUUGCAUUUGGGAUCCAUCUCUAAGUAAUCUUCAAAGCCAUCUCUAAGUACUCUGUCAAAUUUAAAGAAGAGAUGACUCACCCAUCUAGACAAGCCGAUGUAGCCGCAUCCCUCGGUGAUACUUGGCCUUGCUCCGGUGCUGCGCCUUUACCACGCAAGGCUGAGACCGCCGCACAGCUGGCCUCCCCACCAUGGCCGCCCUCCGCCUCCCCACCAUGGCCGCUUUGCCCGUCGUCAGCAGGNNNNNNNNNNNNNNNNNNNNNNNNNNNNNNNNNNNNNNNNNNNNNNNNNNNNNNNNNNNNNNNNNNNNNNNNNNNNNNNNNNNNNNNNNNNNNNNNNNNNNNNNNNNNNNNNNNNNNNNNNNNNNNNNNNNNNNNNNNNNNNNNNNNNNNNNNNNNNNNNNNNNNNNNNNNNNNNNNNNNNNNNNNNNNNNNNNNNNNNNNNNNNNNNNNNNNNNNNNGCCCGUCCUCCAGGAGUCGGCCGCCCCCGCCUCCCCACCAUGACCGCCUCGCCCGUCCUUCAGGGGUUGGCCGCCCCCUGCCUCCCCACCAUGGCCGCCUCGCCUAUGGCCCUCGUCCACCUCGCCCUCCUCCAUGCGCCCGCUGGGUGCCUCCCUCGCGCCGCCGCCGCUGGGUGCUGCGCUAGGUUUAGGUCUCGGGGAGGAGAAGGGGAAUCGGGGGGAGAUGGGAGAAUCGGGGGCAGAAGGGGGGGUUCGUUUUUCUUUUUUUUAGCGUGCUAUAAAGAAGGGGUAAAAACGACUUUUCCUGUCAUAGUUGACGGUGUUAACGACAAAGGACGACGGAAGUGUGGAAGGAAGAAAAUAAAGUUAGGAUGUCAAAGAAGGAAAAAAUAAAUUUUUAGGGCCAAAAAGGGAAUCAAAAUUUAAGAAAGGGCCAAAUAAGGAAUUCUCUCUCAAAAGACUGAAUAGCAUAAAACUACCACUUUUCAUGCUAUGCUUUCAAAAAACCACCGGAUUUUAGUUUGUCGCUGAUAACUACCGGAAUCGGCGUCGGCUGUUUCAAAAAACCCAAAUGACCGUGUGGUUUACAGCCGAUUGUGAUUAUGACAGGUCGGGCCCGCGCGUAAGAGCUCUGAUUGUUUGACCGUUAAAUGGUAUAAAAGCAAUCAGGUCCCUGCAAAAAAAAUAAAAGCAAUCGGUCCCGGUAGUUUUUCAAAUAAAGCAAUCGGGUCCUUCGGAGGUCGUCCGGCAGCCGCGCGCAGUUACCUCGUCGAGCUCCCUCCGGCCGCUCCCAGUGCCCGGCGAUGGGCUCCCUCCUGCAACUCCCCGUUCCUGGCGACGGGCUCCCUCCGGCGGCUCCCCAUGCCUGGUCGUGCUCCAGGCGAGCUGCAGCCGCAGCCGCGCGCAGUUACCUCGUCGAGCUCCCUCCGGCCGCUCCCAGUGCCCGGCGACGGGCUCCCUCCUGCAGCUCCCCGUUCCUGGCGACAGGCUCCCUCUGGCGGCUCCACGUGCCCCGCGACGGGGUCCCUCCGGCCGCUCCCCGUGCCUGGUCGUGCUCCAGGCGAGCUGCUGCCGCAGCGGCGCGCCGUUGGAGCAGCCGCCGCUUCUCUCUGCGUUCGGGCCGCCAUGCUCAGGAACUCUGGUUGCCGCGCCCAGGAGCUUGGGCCGCCGCGUUCCUCAAGGCGGCGUGUUCUUGCGAGCAGCCCUGCCACGCCCGUAGCCGUCGUGGAGCAGAUCGGCGGGCUCGGUUCCAUGUCCAUCGUCGGCAAUAUCCUCGCCGGCUGUGCAGAGGGCAGCAGCAACAACGGAGGUGGGGUUCCACAGGCGCCGAAGCAGGCGGCCGGACGUGGCAUAGGGCGCGGCGUGCGGCAGCAGUGUGGCCGGCGGCCAUGGCUGUGGGACGGUGCUCCGGAGAGAGGAGAAGAAGGGAGGCAAAUAGGACGGGGAGAAAAUGAGGAGACACUAACAGGUGGGUCCUACAUGUCAAUUAACGGUCAAACCAAUGGUCAAACACACGGUUUGUUUAGGUGCGGGCCCGACCUGUCAUAAUCGCAAUCAGUUGUAAACCACACGGUCAUUUUGGUUUUUCGAAACAGCCGACGCCGAUUCCGGUAGUUAUCAGCGACAAACAAAAAACUGGUAGUUUUUUGGAACCUUAGCACGAAAAGUGGUAGUUUUAUGCUAUUCACUCCUCUCAAAAGAAUGUAUAAUGUUUUCCUGAACAAAUUUUGAAACUCGAACUGUUAAAAAGUGUUUUCUUUCUGGAAAACGUGAACAAUUAUUCAAAACAUGAACAAAAGUUUAUUGAUUUUUUUAUAUAAGAUGAACGGUUUUCAAAUAUACUUGAACAUUUUUUAGAUAUACGAUGAACAAUUUUUACCUACACAGUGAACAUUUUUGUGAUAUACACUUUUUUUAAACAUAUUGAACAUUUUUGUGAUAUACGAUGAACAAAUUUUAUACAUUGAACAUUUUUGUAAAAAUAAUCUGAACCAUUUUUAACUAUACAUUGCACAAUUUUGUGUAUAUACGCUGAACAAUUUUGUGUUCACAGUUUUAAAAAUGAUAUACCCAUUGAACAUUUUGUGAUAUAUGCUGAACAAUUUUAAAUAGUGAAUAAAGUUUUAAAACUGUGAACACUUUUUGAAACGAUGAACAAAAUUUGGGAUGUCAAAGCAUUUUCUUGAACAAAGUAUACAAAUAAAAAGGAAAAAUCAUAAAAUGAAAGAAAAGGAAAAAGAAGAGAAAUAAAAACAGAAACAGAAAAAAGAAAGAAAAAGGAAAAAAAGAAAAAAGAGAACAGGAAAAAACCGGCAAAAGAGAAAAAACGGUUCAGGGAACCUCCUAGAAGGUUCCCAAAACCGGGUGCUGGCUCGAAGUGGGCCGGCCCGUGUUGCCUCCGUCGCUCGCUUCGCUUCAGCGAAACAGCGACGAUCGGACGCACACGAGCGUCAUACAGGAUCUGCCGUUUCAACGACGAUUGGAGACUGGAAAAUGUGGGCGGCCUCUGGGUUCUCUUCUUUGUGGAACAUGGGUUUUCCUUUGCUUUAUAAUGCUUGUGAUCAUCCCAAUGCACCAAGAGAAACAUCUACAAUAGUCUAGCAGUGAUUUCGCUUCCUGCUGCUGUGUUAGGCUGUUAGCUACGGAGAGUCCCUAUUCAGUGACCGAACGGUGGAAAGAGAAGCAGCGCGCACAUUUAGGCAAGCCCAUGUGAGGGCAGGGCGCCCCUGUUUUUUUGUUUUUGUUUCUUGUUUAAAUUUUCUUUUUUGUUUCUGGUUUUCACUUCCAAGACAAUUAUUCGGGAUUUAAAAAAUUUCUAUUUUUAUGAAAAAAUCAGAAAGUUUGGAAAACUUCCAAAUUACAAAAAAGUUUCCAAAUUUAAAAAUGAUCGCAAGUAUAAACAAUGUUCCCAAAAUUUCUAAAAUAUUAGGAAUUGAAAAUAUCAGGAUUUCAGAAAAUGUUCGGAAAUUUUAAAAAAUCAGGCUUUCAGAAAAUGUUACAAAUUUUUUAAAAUAUCAUAAAUAACUAAAAAACAAUCUUCAUAAAUUCAGCAAAUAUAGUCAUGAAUUUUUUUUUUUAAGAUUUAAGAAAAGGUUUGCAAAUUCAAUAACAUGUUCAAAAAAUGCUCAUGUGUUCGGAAAAUGUUCACUAAUUUCAGAAAAUUUAUAAGUUCAAAAAAUGUUCGUGAAUUCCAAAAAAUGGUCAUGAAUUCAAAAAUCUUAUUGUAUUUAAAAAAAUGUGCAUUAGCUUAAAGAUAUGUUCACGACUUUAAAAAAAUGCUCGUGAUUUGUAACUUCAAAAGUUAUUCUCGAAGCCGAAAAAUGUUUAGAACUGUUAAUAAAUGUUUGUGAAUUUGAACAAAAAUCAUGAUUUUCAGAAAAAACAAUUCAUGAAUCAAAAAUUAUUCGUGAUUUUUUCUUCUGAAUUUUGGAUAAAAGUUUGAGAAUUUGACAAAAUAAAAAUAAAACUAGGAAAACGAGAGGAAAACCAAAAGAUAAAAAGGGUUCAAGGAGGUUGUAGAACUUUCCCGAAAUCAGUGGGGAAACUACUCGGGAUGGGCUGACCCAUAUAGAGGACGAGGCGCGUGGGUUGUACAUGUUUCAUCGUUAUUCCCCGACCUACGAUGGGAAUAGGAUCUGCAUUAGCUACAUGUGAGUAAUGGGACUAACUAUCGAAUAAUCACCUUUAUUUUUUUCUUGAGUUUCGUUGGACUGAAAUUCCAGCAAUUGCAGGCUUUCUCCUCCACCGGCUCAGGAUGCACAUAUCUUCUCCGUCUGAACGCCCCACCCCUCCCUCCCGCCUCUCAUCCAACGGGGACACCAUGGUGAGCUGUGUGUCCUCAUCUUCGAGAAGGUCCUGGUUAGCCCUCGCAGCGACGUCACUGUCUCGAGCUCGGCUAAUGUUGAAUCUGAUAGACCGUCAAAACGCUCCCCUCCCACCCGAAACCAAUCAAGCCUGCACCGGCCCUGUCUUGGCCUAAAAAAAUUCCAGGCUCCAGAUCAUUUGCAAACGUGGCGGAUAAUUAGCAAAAUAAGUUGUUCACCUCCAAAAAAAGAAGAAAAAGAACUUGUAUCUUUGUACACUGCCCAAGGGAAUUGAACUAGCUUGACAAGGCAAUAUCAUCUCCUAGCUAGUUUGUCCAAGGGUCUACUCGAAGAAUAAUACAUAGCUGCCCUGGAAAGAGACUUCAUGUUUUGUCAAUGGACUACCCAAUAGUCAGUCCUGAUUUUGGUGUCUACCUGAUGGCCAACAACUUCUUAAAGCUAACUAUAAGAAAUACACAAAAAGACAAAUAUAAUAGUACAUACAAAAAUCCAACAAUAGAAAUGUGUGGACCACUGUCCAAGUUCUAUAAUAGUGUGUCGUGAGUUGGGAUGAAUGGAUAACCAUGAACAAGAGAUGGUAGGGCAAUAAUUUUCCAACGACCAAAACUUGGGUCAACUCCCUAGGAGCUUUUGUUUUUAGUUGUGAUCGAAAUGCUGCAGGUUGCAACAACCUCCAUAAAAAUACCACAACCAUGAGUAGUCUAUCAAGAAAGAUACGUUACGAUCGCGAAGAAGAUUCAACCGGCGUGGCAAUAAAAAUCAGAACAAAAUUAUAUAUGUGCCCAAUUAGAUUGACAAGGACUUUUCCAAGUCCACUUGAUCGAUGACCAAUCAACCUCUCCUGCAAGACUUGAUCGAGAGUAGUUUCAGUUACAUGUCACGUUUAUAAUUACGUCGCCGACAUGCUUGAAUCCCAACGGUGAUAACAACAGAUGCUUGCUCGGCAUUUUGCUGGAAUAACGCAUGCGGCGGUCGACUUGGUCCAGUCAAUGAGUGUUGAACCACUUGUGUUGUUCUUCAAUUGGGACCACUCGUUUGAGCUCAUUUCUUAACUCUAUGGUUGCUCUAUCAUCACUCCGUACAUGUACAAUCGAAAGAAAUCAACUGAGACUGCAACUUCCUGGAAAUUUGGCUACUCCUGGCAGCGAAAUGGAGUUGUUCCUAUUUUCUGUUCUUCCAAUAUAAUGGCGGUGUUCCUGCCCUCUUGAUGACUUUCGUCUGAUGAGGAAGACGAAGUUAUUUCGAAUAUUUAUCAGGUUUUCUUUAACACAGUAUAGACGCAAGUGCUCAUAUACACGCGCAUAUAGUCACCCCUAUGAACGCACAUACGCACACCCUACCCCUAUAAGCACCUCCGAAAGACUGAGUCGACAUAUCAUCUUGAAAUUUACGAAGUCACCGUAGGCACCUCGUCGUUGACGGGAACGUCUCCUCCCACUAAAUGUGCAUCGCCGGAAAUUCUGAAAUAAAUUCAGGAAUAAAUGCGAGCACCAGGAUUUGAACUUUGAUGAGCUGGGGAUACCACAGUCCCUCUAACCAUCCAACCACAUGUUGUCCGCAUUUAUCAGGUUCCUUGUGGUGUACCCUGCUCCACCAGAUUAACUACUGCAUAGACUUGCCGCGGGUGUACACAUUUUCCGGGAUGUAUUGUAUGUUUUUUGGUAAUAUUCAUUUUGUGGUAUGUCGUGCACGUCAACUACGAGCUGUCUUUGGCAAUUUCAUAAAUCUCAAGAUUGUCAGCUCAGUCUUUUGAAGGUGUUCAUAAGACUAAGAUGGAUGUAGGUGGGUUUAUAAGAGUGAGUGUGGGUGUUAAACAGUGUUAAGUAAUAUAAGAGUGUUUUUACACUACACUAGUGUCAAAAAUUGAUAUUAUGGGAUAGAGAGAGUAUGUUUCUUUUUUACGAGAAAACUUCAAUCAUGGUUGUACAAUGAACACCAGAAAUAAUAAAAAUUACAUCCAGAUUUAUAGACCAUCUAGCGACGACUACAAAAAUUGAAGCGAGCCGAAGGCGGUUAUUGUGAUUAUUAACAAAGGCUUAAGACGAGCCCAACUUUGAAUUAAGAAUUUCAUCAAUAAGCAACUUAAAAAAAGUCAGCAACCAACAAGAAUUACAACGACCAAAAAAUUACAUAUAAAUGACAAGAAAGCGGCAAAAGGUUCAUAGUGCAAUUUUAGCUUACAACCGAGUGGUGAUACUGGCAAGAAAAAUAAAGAAAUAAAGUGCAGCGUGGAGCACCACGUCACAAAUGUCCUGAAGGGAAGCUAACACCAAAGGACAAAGGGAUACGCUGGCAAUCACCUGAUUGGUUGCUCAGGCGAUUUGGCGGCGAGGUCCAUUUAAUGUGUGUCCUCGUGGGCCCGUGCAGACGCACCCCUCUCUUCCUCGUCUAUCCUUAUCCCUUCUUUCGUUCGGCCCACCUUAUCCCUCCUUUCUUUUUUCUUCUCUCAAUUCUUCCGUGCAGUUGGCCUUCUCCUCUCUCUGUUCCCUCCGGCUGCGACCCAGAGCAUCCCCCUCUUCUAUGUUUCUCUUCCCAAUCCUUAGCCAUCCCUCCGCGCGAGAAGCAUUGCUGCGAGAGGAGUCAGCUGCUGUAGGCGUCCAUUGGAUCUUCAUGGGGUGCGUUGACAGCUAAGACCGCAACACCAUCAUUGCAGAGGCUCAUGUGUUUUGCAACGUCAUGCAAGCUGAAGAUGACUGUAACAUGAUGCAUCUUGCAAUAGGUGACCGCAACAUGCUUCAUGUUGCAAGGGAUGACCAAAGGCCCACAUGAUUUUCAACACUAUGCAAGUUGGAGGUGAUCAUAACAUGGUCCAUGUUGCAAUAGGUGACCAAGGUCCCUUGCAACAUCAUGCUAAACGUGACCGCAGCAUGGUCCAUGUUGCAAUGGAUAACUGCAACAUGAUCCAUGCUACGAUUGUCGGACGGCUCCAUGGAAAAUAUCCAAUGACACCCGGCUCGGCCGAUCUUUGCCAAAGAUUAGCCGGCCACUACGCGUGGUCCAAGGACAAAAGACUUGUUUUUCUUUCAAGAAUGACAAAGGACUCUCCCAAGUGUACUUAAACUGGUCUGGGAUUACAGGAUGACCAAUCAACCUCCUACAGGAUUUACUCGAGAGCAGUUUCAGUCAUGCGUGACGUUGAAUAAUGACGUCCGCCAACAUGCUUGGCAUCCGGCUGGGAUUGAUGACAUGCUCUGCAUUUUACUAGAAUAAUAGACACAUCACAUGCGCCGGCCACGGUGGCCGCCUUAGUCCAGUCUAAUGACUAUUGAACCACUUGUAUUGUUCUUCAAAGGAGAACCGAGCUAUUUUUUUAACUCUAUGAUUGGAUUGCUCUUUUCUUUUUUGUUUUUGAAAGGUCAGCCGGAGGCUAAACCAUUAGAGCAACUUCACAAUGAACGCUUAAACCAUCACGUGGUUUAGACGUGUUUUGUCAUCCAACACGGCUGUGUAUCCGUUCGGUGGCCGGUCCAUACCUCCUUUUUCCCUCAAACCGAAAGUAAAGUAGGGGGGCUUUGCGGAAGACCGGACAACAACUAUGUAGGACUCCGACACCACGGCCCACCCAAAUCCCCUCCGGGGCUCAGUGUCUCUAUUCUUCCCUCUUUCUCUGCAUCUGUUUUCUCUCUCGCUGACACCGCCGCACCACCUUCCAGGCCGCCUGCCAAACCCUUCCCGGAGCUCCGCGACCUCCACCGCUACACCCGGCUCCCACACCGCUUUUAGCUUCUUCGUUGGUCCACACCUCUCCUCCUCUUCCUCCGCCUAGGUACCAUUUGGCCGUAUGGUACUCACCACGCCCGACAAGUGUUUGGUGAAAUGCCUGUGCUAAAUUUUUUGUCCCUUUUUCUUUGAAGCAAUGGAUUCGGAUAUGCAGUACAUAUAAGAGCACUACAUUGAUUCAUCCGACAGGAUUUGACAUGUGGUUAUUUAGAGUUUGCAAGCUUUAGAAAAAAGAGGCGGAUGCUUACGGCUACGGCUGGAUGACCGGCUCCCGCAUCGGUGUUUGAGGAUUGGUCCCCAUCGAUCUGCAGACACAUGCGGUUUGAAUAUGCCCUUAACAUCACCUUGCAUCUAUAAUUGAAGAAAAUCAACGAAGAUUGCAACUUCCUGGACAUUUUUGGCUACUCUUGACAGCGAAGGCACGACGUGGAAUUGUUCCUAUUUUACUGGUUUGAGAUGGGAAGAUGAGAAUUUUCUCUUCUUCUAAAUUCAAAAAUAGAAUAUAACUACAGUGCUCCUGCCCUAAUCUUGACGAGUUCCGUCAAAAAAAGAAGUUAUUUCAAUGAGUCUGUCUAGGACACAUCUAGAUGUGACAUUAAUUAUGUCACAUCUAACCUGAUGUCUACUAUGUUUGUGGUUUAUUUUUUUUGUCUUAUUUUUUUUGUUCCUGGUUGUUGUGUUAUUUGUAGAAGCUUAGAUGUGACAUCCUUAAAAAACAUCUAGAUAUGAAUUAGACAAACUGUAUUUCAAUCUCUAUCAGUACAUGCGGAAUACCAUACUACUCGUAUUUAACAGCUAAUAACUUGAGUACAUGCAUGUAUCCAUUGCAUUCUCCAAGAGGCGUCCGGCAGCAUGAGGGCGACCAGUCUACUGCGGCUGCUCUUGAUCUGCUUCUACCUCCUUUCGAUCCACACCUUCGGCGCCGCCGGUGUUGGUGACAAGCUCGAAAAGGGCCAGAACCUCACCGACGGGGACACGCUCGUCUCGGCCGGCGGCUCCUUCACCCUCGGCUUCUUCUCUCCCGGAGUUUCCACGAAGAGGUACCUCGGCGUAUGGUUCUCCGUGUCCAACGCCACCAUCGCCUGCUGGGUCGCCAACCGCGACCAGCCUCUGGUCGACAAGUCCGGCAUGCUGGUGUUCAACGACCUCGGCAGCCUUGUUCUGCUCGAUGGCUCCCGCCGGACGGUCUGGUCUUCAGAUUUCUCCGGCGGCGCUUCCGCCGCGGCGGCUCAGCUUCUCGUGUCCGGCAACCUGGUCGUACACAAUGGCAGCAGCGACGUCUCCCUGUGGCAAUCAUUCGACCACCCGUCGGACACCUUGCUGCCCGACAUGAAGCUGGGCAAGAACCGCUGGACCGGAGCCGAGUGGCAGCUCACGUCGUGGCGCUCGGCGGACGACCCGGCUCCGGGGGACUACCGCCGCACGCUGGAAACCAAGGGGUUACCGGAGCUCGUCGUGUGGCGUGGCAACGUCAAGACGUACCGCACGGGGCCGUGGAACGGUCUCUACUUCAACGGCGUCCCGGAGGUGUCGGCGUACGCGGGCAAGUACCCUCUGCGGGCGACGACGAGUCCGUGGGAGGUCACCUACGGCUACACCGCCGCGCCCGGCGCGCCGCUGACCCGCGUCGUGGUGAACCACACCGGCAAGGCGGAGCGGUGGGAGUGGGACGCGAGCAGCUGGGCGUGGACUCGCAUAUUCCAGGGGCCGAGGGACCCGUGCGACGAGUACGGGAGAUGCGGGCCGUUCGGCCUCUGCGACCCCGAGGCGGCGUCAUCGGGGUUCUGCGGCUGCGUCGAGGGCUUCAGCUUCGGCAGCCCUCCCGCCGCAACUCCGCCGGCGCAGGAGGUGAAGGGUACCACCUGCCAAAGGCACGCAGCGCUGGACUGUGCCGGCGGCACUACGACGGACGGCUUCGCCGUGGUGCGGGGGGUGAAGCUUCCCGACACGCAGAACGCGUCGGUGGACAUGGGCGUCACGCUGGAGGAGUGCAGGGCGAGGUGCUUCGCCAACUGCUCGUGCUUGGCCUACGCCGCCGCCGACAUCAGGGGAGGCGGCGAUGGUUCCGGCUGCGUCAUGUGGGCGGAUGCCAUCGUUGAUCUACGUCUCGUUGACAUGGGGCAGAAUCUCUACCUGAGGUUGUCAAAAUCAGAACUUGGUAUGUACAGAAUCUCUACACUCGCCGUGCAUGUUUUUUCCAUUGUCUUACAAAAAGUUAACUGACUGGAUUUACUCACAUUGGACAAACAAAUAUUUUUUAAAAAAAAUUAACAAAAAAAAUCAUGGUUUUGAUUUUGAAAUACUCACUCAACUGAUCGACUUAGAGACAGAAUUCUCAGCACCCGAGUGCCCCUACACCCUCUGUGAACAGUAAGUUAUUUUUUUUAAAGUCCACAACUUUGGGACAUCAAACAUGAUCAAACUUUUGAUGACCUUGCAAAGUUUUAGCUAAAAACAACGUUUGAGGAGCCCUCACCUAAAAAAACAAAACCAUUGUUCAAAAUUUAUGUACAUUUUUAGCAGUGAUUUUUUUGUGAGGCUCCACGAAGAUUAUUUUUUGCUGAAACUUUGCAAGAACAUCAAAUCUUUGAUUCCUGAAAUUUUCAUAUUUUUUUUACGAAUUUACUGUUCAUGAGGGUGUAGGGGCACCUGGGAGCUGUUACACCUUUCUCAAUUAGAAAUAGCUAUUUCACGAUCAUCUAUUGUAGUGGAGCUUUGCUACAGUUACGGGAUGAAACUUACGGAUUGUAGUUAUGGGCUGAUGGUGGCCUUNNNNNNNNNNNNNNNNNNNNNNNNNNNNNNNNNNNNNNNNNNNNNNNNNNNNNNNNNNNNNNNNNNNNNNNNNNNNNNNNNNNNNNNNNNNNNNNNNNNNNNNNNNNNNNNNNNNNNNNNNNNNNNNNNNNNNNNNNNNNNNNNNNNNNNNNNNNNNNNNNNNNNNNNNNNNNNNNNNNNNNNNNNNNNNNNNNNNNNNNNNNNNNNNNNNNNNNNNNNNNNNNNNNNNNNNNNNNNNNNNNNNNNNNNNNNNNNNNNNNNNNNNNNNNNNNNNNNNNNNNNNNNNNNNNNNNNNNNNNNNNNNNNNNNNNNNNNNNNNNNNNNNNNNNNNNNNNNNNNNNNNNNNNNNNNNNNNNNNNGAAAUCAGGGGCGAAGAGGUUAGCGUGGGGAGGACACGUCCGUCCGUACGAGGAGUCCGUAGCUAGUAGUCCGUAAGUGUAGGAUUUUUGAUUGUGAGCGGUUGUACACAUCCGGAAGUCUGAUCAGAUUGUUGUGAGCGUUGAAUUGCAACUUUUUAUUUUUCAGCUGCCUAAGAAUAGCAAAUCUGAUAAAUAUUAUCUGCUUUUAAAUUUUGUUUCUCUUUUACUUCUAGUCAUGCCUGUAUAAUUUGCCGUAUUUUAUUAUGUGUAAGCUCACUCGGACGCCACAUCAUAAAAUAUUAUUGAAAUAACUAUAUUAAUUCCAAUUUGAAAUUUUAUUUCUUUAAUGGAUUCUAAGUCUGUAUAAGUGCUCAAUUGCAUUUUGAUCUUUCUCUUUUGCUGCGAUAACAGAUGACCAUAAAAGGUUUCCUGUUAUACCUGUUGCCAUACCUUUAGCUUCCAUUGUUAUUAUUCUACUGGUCGUCUUUGCGAUUUGGUGGAGAAGGAAGCGCACAAUCAUAGGUAAAUUCUGCUCUAAUGGCUCAAUUUUACAAUUAUUUUGCAUGAAGCAGAAAUAAGGAAAUGCAUGGUUACAUGCAAUGUUGUAAUGUAUAUAAGCUCUGUUGACAGGUGCUAUUCCUCAGAGCCAUGCCAUGGCCGUUCCCUUAGUUAGUCUAGCUAUUAUAAAGGAUGUCACUGGAAAUUUCUCCGAAAGUAAUAUGAUCGGCCAGGGUGGAUUUAGCAUCGUUUACAAGGUUCUCCAAGAAACACAUGAUUCUUUCAUUUGUUGUGGCAUUCCCAUAUAGAAAAGUAUCCGUUGACAAAUUCAUUUCUGACAUCUCAAACUCCAAAAUCAUCAGGGGCAGCUGCCUGAAGGAAGAACAAUUGCUGUCAAGAGGCUUAAGCAGUCGGUGCUCACCACGAAAGGCAAGAAAGAUUUUGCAAGAGAAGUGGAGGUGAUGGUUGGGCUCCGGCAAGGUAGUCUUGUCCGUCUCCUUGCCUACUGCAACGAAGGCAAGGAGCGGAUACUCAUCUACGAGUACAUGCAGAACAAGAGCCUAAACUUCCACAUUUUCGGUACUCGCUACUUGCUGGAACAAAAGUGUUUUCUCAAGUUGCUACGAGAACUGAACUUUCUCAUGUAGGAAUACCAACAGGACCACCAUAUAUAUGGUGGGGAAGCUCCUCAAGUUUUCUCUCAUAUGUUUGUAUCUAAUGAAUGCAUAUUUGACAUUGACAGGCAAUGUUAACCUUCGUGCCUCACUGAACUGGGCAAGGAGACUGGAAUUAAUCCAAGGGAUUGCGCAUGGCAUUGCAUACCUACACGGAGGAUCUGGUGACAAUGUUAUCCAUAGGGAUCUCAAGCCAGGCAACAUUCUGCUAGAUGACGAAUGGAAGCCUAAAAUCGCAGACUUUGGAACUGCCAAGUUGUUCGCUGUGGAUCAGAUUGGGCCUGAUCAAACAAUUGUAGUUUCACCGUAAGUAAAAAAAUGCAAGCAUCGAUAUCCCUAGGAUCUUUGUUUCUCCAUUCAAAUUGAGUGGAAUCAACUCAAUACAAAUAUCCUGAUAUUAUUGAGUUUCUUGAAGGGGGUAUGCAGCGCCGGAGUAUGCGCGGCAAGGGAACAUGACACUUAAGUGUGACGUCUAUAGUUUCGGAGUUAUUCUCUUGGAGACACUCAGUGGGCGAAGGAACGGUGGCAUGCAAGGCCUCCUUUCGCAUGUAAGUGCUACUAUCUCACAAAUGCAUCUGCAUCUUAUAAUUGGUCGAUACACAUAAUUCCUUUUCUUCUUGAGACGAAGCAUCAAGCGUGAACAUAUUAUAAAAAGAUUAUCUACACAUAAUCUUACAGUAGUUGGCGAAUCUCCUUUUGCAGGCCUGGGGAUUGUGGGAGACGAACAUGAUCGCAGAACUUCUGGACACAACAAUGGUGCCACUCUCCGAGUCUGAGCCCGAGCUCUUGUCCAAGCUGACACGAUGCAUCCAGAUUGGGCUCCUCUGCGUCCAGGAAACUCCAUGUGACAGACCGACCAUGUCCUCCGUUGUUUCCAUGUUGACGAGCACGGCGUCGCAAAUCGAUCGGCCAAGAAGAAGGCCACCAUUGGAUCGCGAAGGAUUUGUGCCUUCAGAUUCGUCACAUGGGCUCGAGACCGAACUCUUGAUCCCAACUACUACGAUUGAUUUGACGUAGGACCGGGUCGGACCAGCUGUUGCCUCCUUGUUAGCAACCGGUUUAACUAAAAUUCUAGGUCUUUGUUCCGUGGUCUUUUUGGGUACGCACGGUACAUAAGCUCUUGAGCUCUCUAUAUAAAAAUGUUGGUCUUUCCUUGUGGCUUAUGUUACUAUGUCAUGAGUGGAUGGACUUCCACGUUAUUGUGCUCUGAAAACGAUGCACAUUAACAUAUGCACUAGCUUCGGGUUUGAUAUGGCCUUUUAAUUACAUUUACAUGUUCGGAAGUCCAAUUGAUUUCUAGAAGUUGCAACUGUGCACAGUAAGGUAUAACUCAACCAACAACUAAGCUAACCCAGCGGUUGACUAUACUUCCCAUUCUUGAUUUCUCUUAGAGAGAUUAUGAUGUAGUUAUAUUUCCAUAUAAAUUUCACCUUACAAGUCACUAAGGCUAUCUAAAAAUAAUAUGGUUUUUAAUGAUAAAAAGUUCUCCGCGCUACAGGUUAUCUAUCAAUGUACACAAUAGCUAUGAUUCGUUGUCUAUUAAUGACAUUGUGUACACGGUUCGAGUAGGCGGCCAAUGAUAUUUUUAUCCAACAUAGGUUACAACAUAGUCUACAGAUCAGCUCCCUUACUCCUUACCUGAGGCAUUAUCUAGUCUUGAAGGACUUUGUUUUUUGCCGCAUUUUUCAGAGAAUGUGUGAUUGUUUUUGUUAUGUCCAUCCUAGUCAUAUAGGGUCGGGGUGUGAAUUCAUUUUUCUUGUAUAGCUUUGAUGUGGCGGUAAUUUAGAUUUGGCAUGACAGUUAAGGAACAUGCAUGCUCCAUUUAUUUCUGACGCUUGAGAUAAAGUGCGUACUCCACAAGUCAACUUUACCAAAACUUGGACUUCACAACACAGUAGUAUAAUGGUACUGCUAAAAAUCAGUCGAUUGAGAUUUCGCGAAGUCUCAGUCGACGGGCCAGCCGUCCGAUCUUCAGCAGCUUGUAGAUUUGCGUUGGGGGCGCUUUUGUCCUUGUUUCGGCCUGUCUAAGGCGUGGACCGGCCCGCUUUGUUUUUUCCCGUCGAACCGAUGAUCCCAUAUGCAAGCGCUGCUGAUGGGCUGGGGCUGGGCUGUGUUUUCAGUGCGGGUCAUUCUUUUUUUUUCUUCUGUCUUUGUUUUUUGGGCCGCAUUAAAGUGAAGAAGGGGAAGCGGUCACCCCGUGGUGAUUAAGAAGAGGGUAACGUGCCCCUAAAAAAAAGAGGGUAACGUUUGCUCAAAAAAAAAAGAGGGUAACGAGCAGUCAGGUUUCAUUCUACUUCAUCUCUCUCCAUUCCCUCGGUCUCAAAUCGAAAGAACUCCGCAGGGGGAGAAGAGAGGCCGAGCUCGAAGAUUGGCGUGCUACUGCACACCCAAAGAGAGAGGGAUGGCCAGCGUUGCUGAUGGAGCGAGUUUCCCCCUACCAUUCUUCUCCAUCACUACAAGAAAAUACCUUAUAGAUAGAAGCUUAGCAGUAGCGCGGGGUAUAAACCCACGCUACUACUAAGUUGAUAGUAGUAGGUGGUGUAUAAAUCCCACGCUACUACUAAGUGAUUCCCACCGUACCCCCGGGAUCGGCCAUAGUAGUAGCGCGGGGUAUAAAUCCCACGUUGCUACUAAGUUGAGAGUAGUAGCGUGGGUUAUAAGGCCUACGCUACUACUAAGUAGACCACCCGGACAUGCUAUAGUUGUAGCGCAGGUGAAACAUGCCGCGCUACUAUUAUUUCGUCGCUGGCUGCGCUGUAACUACAACCGUGUAUUUAUAAAAUGCCAAUGCGUCCUGUCGCCUCGAUCUCUCCCUCCCCCACAUCUUAUCCCUAUCUGGCCUCUGCAUCCUCAUCCUCCUCCACCACUGGAUCCGGCCACAGCCAAGGUUUCCUCUCACCCACCUUAGAGCGGCGAGGUAUGCUACUUCUCCACCCGUCGGCGAGGUGCGGGCGCCGGCCGCUGGCCGACGUGGGGGUCGUGUCGUUCCUUGUGCAGCAGCUCACGGUGACCUACACGUCCGCCAACGGCGAGGACGCGGCUGACACGCUACUCAGCAUCUCCCUCCCCGCAGCUCAUGUCAUCCCCCGUCCCGGUUGUCUCCCAUCCGGCCAGCAACAGUGAGCCCCCUCUUCUUCCCGUCUCACUCUUCUUCAU